rnacentral:lncRNA from 1 species
UGUAUUUAUCUGAACAUCAUGGAUUAAAAAAAUAAUAAUAAAUAAAAGGAAAAGAAAACCAUGAAACGAUGGAGCGGCCCAAAGCGAGACCGAGCUCCCUAAUUAUUGCCCUUGCAAAGUACGGAAAACCAAACUUAAAAUAAACUAAAUUAAAAAAUAAAAUUAAAAAAAAAUCUUCGCAACAUUCGCACCAAAGUCCUUACUCUUUGUUAUUAUUACUGCAAAACUCGACUGCAACAAAAAAACAUAGUACCAAAACAUUAGAAAAAAUGAUAACGGUGGAUAUGCAAGAUCAUGAUCUUUUUUUCCUUUCCCCUGCGAGGUAAAGAUGCUCUAAUUCCGGAGACCAUUGAGAUAUGUCCAAAUGGUGCAACCUAUUAUGCAUGGUAUAUCAGAAUUGUACGAAAACAUUCAUUUCAAAAAAAAAAAAAAAAAAAAAAAAAAAAAAAAAAAGACAGAAUAGAUAAGAUAAUCAAACUUUUUAAGUUUAUUGCCACCCUCUGAUCCGUCAUCUCGUCGGCGAGGUGGGGGAGCAGGAAAAUAGACGGCGGAGGACGUAUUGAAGCGCGGAAAAAGAACCAUACAUAAAUUUCUUCUUCACCAACACCCUGCAACCCUUUUUCUUCUUCUUCCCUUUGCUCUUCCUCCUCCGAUAGAAGGCGGCGAGGAGAAGCAUCCUCCUUCUGACCGUUCGGAGAAAGCGUCUGCUCCUGGCAGCAAUGCUCUCCCUUUUCUUCACGAAGCUGUAGCUUCGGAGGUACACUUGCCUGCACCGGUUGCUAUCGACUGCUGCGGCCUCCCUCCGCCCCCCUCCGCCCGCAGACACCGACCGGAUGAACUCUGCAUCAGAACCAUUACUGUAUGUUCCCCUCACCGGCAGCAGCACCGGCACCGGCACAUGACUGCUGCCGCUGGAGAUGCCCAUACCUCUAGCUUUGCGUCCUACUGCAGUAACACUGAAUACUAAGGAUAGUUAAUAUGCAGCAUGCUCAUGCAACUCUCAUUUUCUUAUGCAGAAGAUCCUAGAUACUCUAUUAUUUUUUUCUGACAAUGCGUACGUACUUAUGCAUUAUUUCUUUUAUUUUCUUGUCCAAAAAUAAUUGACAAAAGACUUUGGGGAGACCCCGCACGUGCUAAAGCGUUUGCUUAAUGGGGCACUAUUAUAGGUUUUACCAACCGUGAAAUGACCCAUGCGAAUCACGCUUGCAUCAAACUUGAUCAAAGUCAACCAUUUGGGGCUUUAAUCCCCUGGUGCUAAACUUACCCCAAAUAAAAAAUAAAAAUAAAAAUAAAAAUAAAUAAAAAAAAAAAACUGCCGUGAGGUAAUAUAAACUGCACGAUGUUGCCAAGCAGGGUUAAUAAUUGGGCCAUGCCGGACCGGGCUGGAUUUAAACAGACCCGCCCGACCCUCGUCGGGCUUGAUCUGGAAAGACCCGUUUCUUUAGCUGCAGGAGCCAGGAUUGGCCUUGGACGAAAUUAGGCCCAGGCCCAGGCCCAAUCCCAGCCCAUUAGCAACUCGCAGUAACUGAAUUCAACAAAUAAAUAAAUACAAUGGAAAAUAACCAUCAAAUUAACUCUAUGUACAUCAACAUUAUCCUCAGUAUCAGCAGGAAUAAGAAAAGAGUUCAUCAAUGUAGGUAAUUUUGUCAAACAUAAUGGAUGAAUCAACUCCUAAACCGGUAAUGCAAGGUAAUUUGCAAAAGAACCAAUGCCAAACUCUUUGAUUUUCUCAGCUAGAUAGGGUUCUUAGGUCCUCUUCGGUGAGGACAGAAGGGACGACUUUUAUUUGCUGUACGAGAAAGCCAGCUUCUUGGCAGGCUUGUUCGAGAAGCUCUACUUGAGAAGCCCCGUCAGGGCAGAACGCAACCACGGCUCCGCCGCUUCCAGUGAACUUGGCUGCGGCACCGACGCUUCUGGCCACAUCAACCAUCUUUAUGUUUAGCGAGCCGAGCACGCUGUCUCCAAACAUUUUCCUGGGCACGUAAAAGCAAGAGAUAGCGACAUUAAAGAAAAAGUAGUUUAAGACACAUGGAUACACGGAAUACUCGAACAAUAGGUAGUUAUGAACAUAUCUCAUGGUCCAACAACUUAAAGGCUUUCAGAUACCAAUAGAAAUCUAAAGCCUCUGUGUUUGUCUAAGUAAUAAAAUUGAUGCGUCUUAACUUUAAUUUCUAGUCAAGCUGAACAUUAGGCGAAAAACAACAAAACGAAAGUUAUUCACCAUGCCAUCCAACAUAUGAUGCAAACAAAUGGUCACCUAGAUGUCUUAAACAAGUCUUAAGGCACCAGGCUAAUCACCGAAUUGUGGAUGCUUAUAGAGCAUAGAUAUACAUCAAAAGGGCUCUAUAGAAGAUAGGGAUAUAUCCACAUUAGAUUUCUGAUAUGCUUUCUAAAACCAAUAGUAAAAUUCCAAUGUACAAUGUGCUUAGAAUUUCUAAAAAAUGGCUUUUGAUGAUAAUGUAAGGUAGCUCAGCAGGCUUCAGGCAAACAAGAAAUCCAAUGAGAAAGAUAAAGAUACAAUACAAUCGCAGUAACUACUUUCAACUUACCUCCGAAGAUCAAAGUUGUGGUUCAUAAGAUUUACAAGUUCAGUGUAAUUCUUUUCUAAUAAAGCCUUGUGACCCUCUAAUGCCAGCUCAGCCACCUCUUUCAUCUUUGAUAUAAUAAAUUCAUCACCAUCAAGCCAUCUCUGUCGAACAGAGCUGUGAACCUACAAUUAAACAACACAGCUUGAGCUAUAUAAGUAGUGCACAAGUGAAAAGCUCACAAAAGUAAGGACGUAUGGUUUCUUAUAAAACAAGAUACUACAAAAAACGCCAGAAACUAAGGUGCUAGCAUUUUGUGCUCUUCGAGUUUCUCUGAAAACUAGAAAUGUCGAAAUGUCAUACAGUACGGAAAGACACAAAACAGAUUAAUUUUUUUUGUCAAAACACCAUAUCUACAUAUUACUAUCUAGACAACUGAUACCUAUUUCUAGAUCCACGGCAUACAAUGAAUGCAAUCCUUUCUUCGGCAGAAAUACACAAACAGAGCUUGCAAAUAUAAAGCUACACUGGAGCCAUUCUUCUAUGGCAGUAACUAUUCUAACAUAACGAUCAAUUCUUUACAAAAAAUAGUAAAUCUAUGAGUGUUUAAACUCAACACUGGAGUUUUCUUCUAUUUACUCAUUUACUCUUCUUUUUUCUUUUCUUUGGAGUGGAUCUCAUUAACUUGAAACUUCUGAUCUCCCUUGAUUAGAAUUUCAGAAGGGAUUUCCUUUUAAAAUGUCCAAUAGCAAAAGCCAGACAUUCUAAAGUGUUUAUCCUACCGAGACAUGGCAUGCUGUUAUUAAGAUAACGUGGAUUUAUAUCUCAAUAAGGCCAUACUUACCAAUCUCAAGCUAUAGAUCAGACAAAAGAAUUAUGCUGUUUUAUCUGACAAGAAAGAACAUGUAUUCUGACAAGAAACUACUUUAUAAGACAAACCUUCCCAGAAUCGCUUGGAUUCUCAGCGUAGAUGAGAUGAAGAGGCGGAAGAAGAUUAAUAUCCAAGGGCACAUACUUGCCAUGCCCCAACUUAUCCAUAUACUCCUUGCUGAAGUCCUGAAAUGCCAAUCUUAAAUUAUUUGGUAGAUCCACAGGACUAUAAGCAAACAGAAUGCAACAGGCGAAUGGCUAAAUUCUAGACUCAUUAACAGCUUUCAACUAGAUUGUUUUUAUAGGUUUCUAAUGGUGCAUACCAUAUAGACAAGGCCACCAUAAACUUGUGCAACUCGAUCUUGAAGGCCAGCAACAAUUCCAAGUUCCUUCUCUGCACUAAGAAUUAGUUCAGGCCUGACUUCAACCUUUAUAAGGUGUCGAACUUCGUAAAAGUCGAGGAGGCAGUUUAGGGCAGCACAAACAAUGGCACUGGAACCAGAGAGUCCUGUCUGAAGAUUCAAGGCACCACAAUUGUUUUGGAAUCAGUCAUAUGAAAAAUAUUACGUCUACUACCAGCAGCAAACUUACCAUAGAAGUCUAGAAGUAAAACAAGAGACUACGGUCCUAGUUGCAUAAUUCUUAUAUUGACUUGCCAUAGAACAAUAUUUAGUAUGAUUUACCAAAGCAAUCUAUGUGCCAAAACAGAGAUCGGCAGGCUCCACAAUGCUAGUUGAACUUUAGAUUAUUGCUGAAAUGCAAUCUCUACCAGUUAAUGUAAGCAAAACAGGGUUAAUCAAUUUAAUCAAGAUUACUAUUCAUAAAGAGCCUACUAUUUUUAACUGCUGUUACAGGUUGAAAGUUAAAUAAUAUAUUAUAGUAAUAUUCUUCUUGGCACUAACUAAUAAUAAAAAUUCAGAAUCCUGAAGCUAAAUUUCACAUGCAUAAAUAGUAGAUGGCAGAUAGUAGAAAUCUAUUUCAUUGAUGAAACAAGUAGUACGCUACCCUCAGAAUUACGAUAAUGUAUGACGAAGACAUAUAAAAAAUUAAGGCAGUCAUAGGAACCUUCACCUGGCGAGGAAUAUUGGUGUCAUAUGAUAAAGUGAAAUUUCCCUUUUUCAACUCAAUAUUGCUUUCAGUGCAAUACUUGUAGAACACCUUGCAAAUGGCCAUUAGCAACCGAACACCUCCAUAGUACCCCUCGUUUUCCAAACGAUUCACCUGAGAAAUGAAGUUUAUAACCAUACAUCAUAUUUCAACAAACUUGAAGUAACCUCUUAUCAGACUAGCAGAAAACUCAAGCCUUACAAAUUAUUUUUAAAAAAAAAAAAGUUUUUUUUUUGGACUGUAAUUAAAAAACAAAUAAAAGAGACUAUAAGAGAAGAAUAUUUCAUCCCACUACAUUCAAUCAAAUUGUUCCUUAUUAAUAUGUGUCUCUACUAAUUUGAAAUGCGUUGCGGCUUCGUUAUAAAUUCGAAUCCACCAUAUCGAGUAGGAUAAUAUAAAUGACAGGUAAUGUAACAGGAAAAAUGUGAAUUCUCAGGUCAUAUCUUUUGAAAUUGGAUUAGCUAUACACCAUUUGCCCGACUAGUAAUAUUGAUUCGUGCCAAAAUUUUGGUUAAAAGCUAUAAAUUUCCAAACACUAUAAAUUCAACUGCAUAUUAUCUCCUCUGUUUUUCCUACACAUAUGGACCUGGUCUUUUAAUCCUCAUCAUACAUCGUAGAGAAUCCUUAUUUUUAAUUAUGCUUUUCACAUGCAAACCAAAUCAAAUUCCUCUUAGCACUUAUUGAUCAGGCUCUCUGUUCUCUACCAGUUAAUGGCGAGCCCUCUGAUUCAUAAUACCUAACAUAUAUAUAACAAAGCAUAAGAUCAUUUAUAAGAGAGAGAUUCCAUUACAAGAGGUAACAGCAUUUCCAAGCAGAAAUGCACCAUAUAAAUAAAGUUCGUUCAUAAAAGCUAAAUCGAAUCCAUUUGUAUCACCAUAUUCCGGAAUAAACAGCUCUCAAUCAUUCAUGCAUGCAGAUAUAGUAACUUCCACGAACUCGAAACAUCAAAACAACCGAUAAUUCACGAUCAAAGCUCAAUGACAGAUCGAGUGUUGAUCACGCAUCGUUCGACAUAACGGCUAAACGAAAAUGCAUGCCGCAACAAAUCAACUCAGAACGACGAUCGAUCCAAUGAGAAAGAAGCAUAACGGGAUCGGUAGAGAUCGAGUACCAGGUGGUGGAUCGAAUCGAAGACGACGAGAUCGUGCUUGGGGUGGGGCUCGAUGACGAGAUCCUCGGAGGGGCGAAGCCUCACGGAGGCCCAGAAGUUUCCGAUCGAGAAGGAGAUGGUUCGCCCGUAGUAGACGUCGCUAGGGUUCCCCAGCAACCCCACCCUCGCGCACGCCCUGUGCUCGAUCGCCGCCACCACCUCCUCCUCCUCCUUGCUCCGCUUCUCCGCCCGGGAACCGCCGCAACGUCCUACUCCCCCUCUCCCGAUGCUCCGCGCAUCGCCCUCCCCACUCUCCCUCUCUCGCCUUUAUAUCUCCUCCGCGUGACCCCACCGACCCAAAUACGGUUUCUACAAACAGAAAGGUAAAUUUGCAUGGAUAUCUCACAACUAUAGCUAAUUAUGAAAUUACGUUCCCCCCCUUUUUUUUGAGUGAAAUUGUGCCUGAAUUAUUGUUCGCCUUUUUCUCACCAUUUAAUCUUUAAAUUUUUUAUUUUUUUAAAAUUUUAAUUUGAAUUACAAAAUUAGUAUUGGGAAUUUUAGUUGCUAAAAUUACGGAAUAAUUUUAGUUGAGAGGUCUCUAACAUUUUAGGAACAAAGGACAAAAAGGAAAAUAUAGUAGUUGAUUAAUAAUCCCCAUGAGAAUGAUCUAUGGUACAAGUGUCCCCACACACUGCGCCGAAUCAGGGCGUCGCAUGCGACUAAAAGUUGAUGUGCGGCGGAGAAUAACCGCCGGAAGAUGACAGCCGUUGGGAUAUCGACACGUCAUCAUGCGGCGCUUAGCUGGAUCCGUUGCGUGGCUUAGCUGGGGGAGGUUGCAUCGGUCAAUAAAUGCCACGUGGCAACGCUGUUGCGUAACCGUCGCGAGGAAGGCGCUUACGUCGCUUGGGCAAUGGGCUAAGCGUGGGUCCGGCUCAAAGUGGGCCCAUUAGAAGAUGGACCCACGGAAGGACACGUGUCCAUUUAGUAGAUGAAAUAUGUACCUAGGAGAGUAUUUAUAUCAGAUAAGCAAUACUAUGGUAAACCUAGGAUGUACCCAAAUGUAUUCAUAAUACAGUGUUAUGAAUUUAUGAUUCAUAAGGUCAAGAACAAAAUUUAUAUCGCUAGAUUUUAAAAUUUGUAUAGCGUCGUAAAAGUUGUUUGUAAAAAUAACAUUACUCAUGCAAUAAUGUUCGUCUUCUAUUCAAAUAUUUUUUAGUUUUUUUUUUGGUAACAUGCUUAUGCGCCGUUACUUUUUUUAAAAAUCAAUUUUUUUUUUUUAUUGUUUGUGAUCUUAUAUCUAUAUCUACCUAACUAUAGGUGCCACGAAAAAUCUCAUUCAUGGAUUAUAUUUUAAAGAGGGAGGGGACAUUCUAAAAUAUUCAAAGCACCAAACUAUUAAAUAUUUUAAAAUAUUAAUUACAAUGUCAGAAACAGUUUCAAGCCUCCCUGGAUUAGUAUCAUGUCUAAAUCAACAACAGCAAAAUUGACUAUUAUCUAAACACAAUAUUUAAUUCAUGAGUAUUGUUUUGUGUGUUUUAAAAAAAUGAGUAUAACUUUUCUACAAUCUCAUACCUAUAUUUUAAAGUUUCAUCCAAUGCGGAUUGUAUCUAUUCAUUCACCAAUCUAAGCAAUGGGAAUGAAUGCUUAGGGCUGGCAAACAGCGGCCGGCUCGCGUUCGACUCGUGUUCGUCGAAUUGGCUCGCUCAGGCUCGACGUAAAAUUAAAUAGACGCAGCUUGAAUAAAAUAAUAGGCUCGAAAUUCAUUUCAAGCGAGCUUGAGUAUUAGAUCGUUCGUCAUUAGGCUCAGAAAGCUCGAACAAUACUCGAAUAUAUAUAUAUAUAUUUAUAAUAUAUAUAUAUAAAUAUAAUAUAUUUUGAUAAUAUAUAUAUAUAUUAUAUAGUGCUAAUUUGGUGCUAUUAGAGCACAGCAGACUCUUGUGGCUCCUAAAUUCUUAACAGCGUCCAUCAAAUUUGAUUGUUAGUGGUGAAGAGAGAAGAGAGAAAUUGAAGAAAAUUGGGGUUCUCUAUUUCUCUUCUCUUGAUUGAAAACCGCUUUCUCGUUUAAUUUUCUCUCUUUCCUUUCACCCUACCACCAUCAAUUGAUUGGGCAGUUAUAGAACUUAGGAGACAAAGGCUGCUAUGCUUAUAGCACAGUACCUACCUAUAUAUAUUAUAUAUAUAAUAUAUUAUAUAUAAUAGUAUUUAAAUUAUAUAUAGGCUUUAAUUUAAAUUGGCUAUUAUUGUGGCCAUAAAUAAACCCAACAAGUCACAUGCAUGAACCACGUCUAAUUUACAUAAACACACUCUCUUCAGCACUUCACUUUUUGCACAUAACCUAAACAUGAUAAAUUAAAAUUUCAACAUUCCUAAUUUUCUCUCUUUCUUUCUCUCUCUCUCUUUUGACCCUCACCCGUCAGGCAGCUCACCCUAGCUAUCAUAUUCUUGCACAUAUUUUGUAUUUGAACCAUUGGACAUGUUGCAUCAAAUUAGGUAUAUUUUAUAAAAUUAAACUAUGAUUAUAUAAUUCGAAAUUUCAAUCUGGCUCGUUUAGACUCGGCUCGACUCGUAGGGCUCGACUCGAAAUUAGGCUCGCUCGAGCUCGGCUCGAAUUAAUUUCAAGCCGAGCUUGAGCCUAGAUUUAGGCUCGAAAUUAAUUUCAAGCCGAAUUUGAGCCGACAUAAGCUCGCUCGAGCUCGGCUCGUUUCCACCCCUAAUGAUGGCUACGCAUACAAUUAGAGAAAAUAUGUGACCUUAGAAUAAUACUUUUAUAUGAAUAAUAAUUGUUAAUGUGUGAGUAUAUAUAUAUAUAUAUAUAUAAAGAGAGAGAGGCUGGUAUAUUAUUGGUAGCACGGAGGUCUUCGUACUAUUAAGUUGUUUUCAAUGAUGCGGCUUUUAAAUCACUGAUCGGUUUCGUUAAACUUGAUUUACACUAUUAAGAGUAUUUAGAAACUAAAUUUUUUACUUUUUUGGCAUUAUUUGGCUACUGAUCAAAAGGUAUUGACAAUUUUAAUGAUAGAUGUGAUGCGUUUAUAAAUUUAACGGUGUAAAAUAGUUCAAAUAUAAUGAAAUUUUUAGAGAAAAAUCUUUUCACUAUUUAGAGUAAGAUCAGUAUCUUUGAUCUUAAAUUCAAGUCUUUUAUCAUCAUUUUUUAUGAGGUUUUUAUUUUCAGCUGUUCAUUUUUAGAUUAUUUGUUUGAUAGGUAAAUGAUGCCAAAAAAUUAUGAAAUUUAGUUUUCAAAUACUUUCAAUAGUGCAGAGCAAGUCUAACGGAGUCGAUCGUCAAUUUGAAAGCUACAUCAUUGAAAAUAGCUUGAUAGGACGGAGAUCUCUAUGCUACCGAUAGCAUACCAGCCUAACUCUCUCUCUCUCUCUCUCUAUAUAUAUAUAUAGGCUAAUAUACUAUUAAUAGCACCAAGUUAUUGGUGCUACUAAGUUUUUGGCCGUUGGAUUAAAAGAUGUGCGAUUAGGAUGAUGUGGGCCCUCAAGGGUUGAGUGGGUGGUUGGUUGAAUAGUAUAAUCUAACGGGUUAAAAUGAUCAAAAAGGUAGAUCUAACGGCGAAAAAGUUUGUAGCACCAAGUGCUUCAUGCUACUAAUAGCAUAGUAGCCAGAUUCUAUAUAAAUAUAUAUCUAAGCAUUGCGUGGAUUAGGGGACACUUUUGGGUAGUCAUAGCAUUUCUAUAUUCAGACCAAACUUUCUUCCUCCCUGGGAAAAGAAGAAGUUGAUGUUUAUCUGAAAAACUGCGGCGUGCUGAGGUGGACGUGAUAGGUGACAAUCGUAUCUCCUCCCGAAGAAAAUGUCAAGUUCUUCAGAUCCGCGGGAAUUAAUCAUAUAAUAUAAUAAUAUAUAUAUUUAAUAUAUUUUAUUAUUAAAAAAUAAUUUUGUGGUUUUGAAAUGUUACGUAACCUGGUUCUUUAAAGAGACCUUUUAACUUUUGUUUUUUAAUUAAUUAUUUACUUUAAAAAUUAAAUAGUUUUAAUUAUUACUUAAAAUUAAGUUCGCACAUGGAACGAUGUACGAAAAAAAAACUAUCAAUAGUCAAUGAAAAAGGAAAUUAAUAGGCCCAUCCAUUUUCAAUCUCUUCUUUAAUAUUUCAAUUGGAUCAGUGAUAUUUUUAUGCUAUUCAUUAAUUUUGAACCUAGACAAAUUAUUUCAGUUAAAUUGUUGAUGGCUAAAAUUUCGUUAUUUUUUACAGUAAUGAAUACAUAACUACUAAUAAUUGGCCAACUUAUCGAGAAAUUAUUUUCGCUAAUUUUGGCACUUUUUCUCCCUCUAUGUCAUCAUCCUUCUCAUGUUUGUUUUUUUCUUUUCUUUUCUUUUUAAAGGAUCAAUAGCUAAACUCACUACAAUCCUAGCUAUAAAUUCCUCCGACUCAAAAUCCAAGUGCCUUUUUAAUUCAAAUAUCAAAUGGUUUUGACUACGAUUAUGAACAAAGUCAAAACCAAAUAUGCAAUUCGAGAAAAAUGGAAAAUAAGUGAACAACACGAUCCAAAACUUAAACCAACCCAAACUUGAAUCAGCACGGUAACCCAAGUGACCCAAAACCCCUUGCGAAAAUGCGAACCGAAACCCAGCAAAGCGACCCGACCCGACCCGACAGGAUCCGACCCAAACUUCGCCCGGUACAAACAACAAGAACACGAACCAAAAUACCAAAUCGGGAUCGAAACCCCCCCGAAAAAUCCGCGCCUAAAUCGAGCUAAAUUGCGACGCGCUCGGCGAAUGCGUCGCCUCCGCGUUCGCCAACUCCCUAAUCCACGCACAUUCGAAGGGACAUAAUUCGCUAGGCCUCUCUUUCGUGUCGCAGAUGACAAUACGGUUUCGCUUGCCCCGUAAGCCCUAAUUCGAUCAUUUUUUUUAUCCCUUUUCCACUCGAUUUUUUGAUGUAUUAUUCUCUGAUUCUGAAUCUGCAAUUUGAAAUGUACGUAUGAUUGAUCUCAGUUUGAUUGCUCGCGGGAUCGAUGUGAGAUUAUAGUUCGAAAAAUUUGUGUGGUGUAAUUGAGUUUGCAUACGGGAAUGCACUUGAGAUUAUUGUGUUUUUGCUUUGUAGAAGCAAUGUGCGCCUAAAUUUUCUGUUGAGAAAUUAGCUUACUUUUAUUUGAUUUGUAGUAUGAGCCUGUUUGGCCCUUUUGAUGAGCAUAGUGUCUUGAUAAACUACGUGGAGUAGUAAUUUAUUAAUUUGUAGCAGAGUCAAAAGCAGCGAAUUGGAGCUUUUGCGUUUGAACCUUUAAAUCACUUUUUUUUUUUUUUUGCUUCAUUGCAUCCUCCUUGGUUUAUUAAAUGGCUAAUAAUUGAGAUCAUCAUGUAAUUUUUGUUAAGAUUAAUGCUUGUAAUUUGUUCACAAGAAAAAGAUGUUGUUGUUAUGAUUACUUUCGUGUGUUUGGUUUCGUCGUUGAGCAGCAUUUAAACACUGAUAAAUGGAAUUUGCUUGACCAAAUUUUGCCAUUUGUUUUCGCCAUUGCAGAUAUCCGAGCAAAGCAAGAUGGGGGAUGGGAAGGACAAGCAUGAUGGUUCAGGUACCAGUGAUAAAGGAUUCCUUUCAAAUUUAGCGCACGGAUUCCCGGCAUAUCCGCCAGGAUACAAUGGAGCCAGCUAUCCCCCUCCUCCGGGGGCUUACCCGCCACAAGGAUGUCCCUCAGCUCCUGGCCCGUACCCUCCGCACGGAUAUCCUCCGCACGGAUAUCCUCCUCAGGGACAUCCUCCGCAUGGAUAUCCUGCAUACGGAUACCCGCCUGCCGGAUAUCCCCCUGCUUGUGGUUAUCCACCAGCUGGUUAUCCCGGGCCUGGUCCAUCUGCUCCUCCGUAUCACGGUAUCAAACUCUUACGUCGCUUAUACCAGUUACGAAACAUGUUAUUAUACAAGUAAUAACUCGGUAUUGAUUAAUUGUUUCAUUUGGUGAUUCUAGCGUAAGUACUUUUUGUGCCUCUCGAGAAAUAAACAAGCGAAGUUCCAAACAGACCGUUAAGCUUGUUAGACUCUUUCACUGCAGCAAAGAGUAGCUACACUAUUGCAAUUCAUUUUCUUUCUUUCCAUUAUGUUAUCAUCAUUUUUUUCUUGUUUCAUCAGAGUUUUCCACUAACAUGUAAAAUAAGUUUGAACUUUUAUUCUCGAAUUUAGACAAUUUGUACUUCUAGUGGAGAGUUAAGAGCCAAAAUGUUUAUCUUGGGGAUCUAAUUCUAUGUAUUCUUUCUCUACAUUUAGGGCAUGGAUCUGGAACGGGGACUCUUGUAGCCGGGGGUGCAGCUGCUGCAGCGGUGGCUUACGGAGCCCAUCAAUUGUCUCACGGUCAUCGUUAUGGUUAUGGUUAUGGUAUGUUUGGUCGUCAUGGCAAGUUUAAGCACGGAAAGUUUGGGAAGCAUCGCUUCUUUGGAGGAAAGCAUCGCUUCUUUGGAGGAAAGCAUGGGAUGUUUCGCGGCAAGUUCAAGAAGUGGAAAUGAUCCGAAAUGUCGAAUUCUCUCGCUAGGAUUUGUAUGUUUUGGGGAUCUGUCUAUGAACUCUCUUAGUGUGAUUGACACCGGCUCAUGAAGCACGUAAACUCGGAAUUUUAGUUUUGCUUGGAUUGAAUGUUUGUGUCUCCAAUUGUAACUAAUAAUAACAAACCUUAAAAAAUGAGCACUGGGCUUGCGAAGUGAUCUUUCUCUUAGUUGUGAUUGUAACUUGUGUAUCUUCUGAAUAGGUAAAAUACUAUGAGGAGAGGUUGGGUGAUUAAAAUUGCCUAUGAUGAAUAUGAUGCCAUUCAAUGCUUAUAAGUUUUUUUUUUUUUUUUCCCCUUUUUUUUGUUUUUUGGUGAAUGACAACCUGGGGAGUUUUGAUGCCGAGUCUUAUAUUCAAACACAGAUUUAGCCAUGAGCUAACAGGUUUUGUGAAGAUUAGUAUCGUUUUCUUUUAUUAUGUUGUGUAAUUUUUAAUGCAAAUUGAUGACUAGAUGGCUCAGAAGAUCUGCUUAGGUGAUGAUUCAUUCAAUUGCAGGUUACCUCAAUUUGUAAAAUAUCAAUAGUUCAUGUUUAAUAGAUAAAUGUAAGAGGGGAGUAUCUGUUAAAAUCAAAAAAAAAAAAAAAAGAAAAGAAGAAGAGUGGUGAGGUUUGGAAAGAAACUGGCCCGACCUUACUCAGCGGGUCAGGUCCGGCCCGCAAAUUGGACCGAGCCUGGCCAUAAAACUCGAGUCCAGUUAAAACCCGGUCCGGCCGAGUAUCAAUUUUUCGCUUAUGGUGCCUAAUUGGCGUUAUUUUGAUUUUGAAGAGCACGUAUAAAUGUUUAUAUAAACUCCUCAAAACCCUCGCUCUCCAUACGCCUACAUCCCUGUAGCGUUCGCUGGAGAGGAGCACGAAACCAUGGCCCUGUUCUUCGACCUCAGCGUCCCCUACCUCGAGCGCGAGCAUGGCGCCUCCUCUUCCACCGGCGCCUCCGCGGAGAACAAGGCGCUGCGCUCCGCGCGCCUUCGCGCGGCGGUGAAGGCGCUGGAGCUGGGCUACGCCGGGGUGGCCUACGAUCGCCCCUUCCGCGGCGUCGUCGCCGACUCCGAUCGCUCCCGGGCCGCCGCACCCUUCCCCCUCCCCUCGCUCCUCGCAGCCGCCCCCUNCUCCCCUCGCUCCUCGCCGCCGCCCCCUCCCUCGCCGCCGCCGCCGCCCUCCACCGUCGCCUCCUCCGCUCUCCUCCCUCGCCCCCCUUCCGCCAGUUCUCCCGCAUCACCCUCUCCCUCGACUCCCCCGCCGCCGUCGCUUCCUCCUCCUCCAACCCCGUGCUCCGGACCUACGACAUCGUCGCCGUCCGGCCCCUCAACCAGGCCGCGUUCGACCACGCCUGCAAGUUCUCCGAGGUGUGCGAAUUUCGACGCGCACAGCAUGAAUGCGCAAUCGCCUUUUUCUUACGAUCUUUGCGUGAUUUUUUGCGUGGUUCAGGCAUUUGAUCGAACAUGUAGACUGAUGGAAUUUUCGAUGCACAAAUCAAUGCUUUGAUAAUGUUAUUUUUUUUGAAAUGCGCAUAAUAUUGAUGUUCGCAUGUUUGGUUUAGGGAAUUCGGUAAUACAUAUAGAGGGAUAGUAUACUGAUCACUUUACUUUGACAAGUGGAAAAAGGCUGAGACAGUUGUUUUGUUGAACUGAGUUACUGUAAGGAAUAUCUUACUGUGCCAUUGAACCUAUAGAAUUGUGGUAUCUCUCGCAGUAUCCAAAAAGAGACCUGAUAAUCUUUAUAUUUUAUUCAUUAUCGCGCCCUUCUAUCGUUGCAGUUAUCUUUGUAAUCAUUGCAUUAUCAUCUUUCUGCAUAGGCUAGAUCACUUUGCUUUGAAAACCUUUUUUGAGGUUUUGAGCAAUAUACUCCAUGAGAGGCUGUAGUAUUGGUCAAUGUGGUGACUCCGCCUGUCACGCGUGGGUUAUCUCUUCUCCUUAACUAAUUUGACUAAGCAAGAAGAGAAUGUAUACAAGCGACUGACAUGCUAGAGACACAGCUUAAUGCCAAAAUUCACAAAGAUGAUGGGUUCCGAAUCUUCAUGUAACUUCUUGUUUUACUUUGUUAAUAGUAUGCACAAUCAAGUUUUAAUUGAAUAUUUCAAGAUGAGAUACAACCUAUAUUAAAUAUUUGAUGGUUCAAAAACUGCUUGUGGAUAUCACUGUGCUUGCUGUUUUUCAGAUUCAAUUACAUCAAAUGUUAUUUUCAGUAAUGUACUUAAUUAGUUUUACUUUCAUGUAUUUCACCUGAGUGCGUUUAAUACUCUUAUUUAAUUAUGCAUUUUACCCAGGUUGAUAUGAUUUCCAUAGACUUCUCUCAGAAACUUCCCUUUCGCCUCAAGCUUCCCUUAGUUGAAGUUGCAAUAAAGGUGCUGUAAGUGUUUGCACAAUCAAUUAUGUUAGAUAUUAUGAAUCUUGAGUUCUUAAUUGUGACAAUUGCAAAUGCAGAUGUAUUUGCCAAGCUAAUGUGAUGUAAACCUGAUUUGCAGAGAGGGUUGCAUUUUGAGAUCACCUACUCUCACCUUAUUGCUGAUGUGAAUGUAAGGAGGCAAAUGCUUGCAGAUGCCAAGGUUUGUAAAAUUAAUUAAUCUACCUUUAGAUUAUGGUGCUGAAGUAGAAAGGUAUUGAGUGAUAUGUCUAAUAUUGCUUAUCCCUUGAACUAACAGCUGCUAGUGGAGUGGACAAGAGGGAAGAAUGUCAUUAUCUCAAGUGCUGCUUCCUCUGUAAAUGAUAUCAGAGGGCCGUAUGAUGUUACAAAUCUAGUUGUAUUCUUGCUUGGUCUCUCCAUGGAACGAGCUAAAGCUGCUAUUUCCACGAACUGCAGGUGUAGUGUACAAUGAUCUUUUUCUAAUUUAUAAUUUUUUUUUAACUUUCAUUUUCAUGUCUUUUCUUGUUUUGCUUGUACACAGAUCGCUGUUGGUUAAGGCCUUGAGAAAGAAGCACUUUUACAAGGAAACUAUUAGAAUUGAGAGAAUAUUACCUGAUAAUGAGCAGUUUGACUCUAAAAAGUUCUUGCUUAGCAACUUGAUUAACUGGGAUCCUAUCUCUAGCGGUGAAGGAGAUUUGCCAUCAUUGGACGAUAUUGCAAAUUCUACGCCCUCUAAAAAACAAAAUGCAAGUUCAAAAGCAAUUGAUUUCACAUCUAUAACUGAUGGAACACCAUUUUUACUGAGUCACAAUGCUACAAUAAUUUCCUCUUCUAACAAUUUGAGCGCAUGUGCUGUUCCAGAUGAAGUUUCACAGCAAGAUGAAGCCAAUGAAGUCCUAAUAGAAAACAGCUUAUCAACUUCUGUAACUGCUUUAGAAGAACAGAUUUCUCCUCCUGAAACUAUUUUAGUCCCUCUGGACAAUAUAGAAAAGCUACCUGUGGAAGCUAUUUUGGCAUCUGAAGCUGAUGCAUUGCAAUCAGAUCACAUGGAAUUAGAGGAUUGCAACACUACAGUAGGUGAUACUGUCCUUUUAUCAUCUGAUGCCAAUUUAUCAUCUUUCACUGUCACUGAGAACACGCAAACAUAUAACGGAUUUUUGGAAGAUGAUGAAGGGUCAAAGCACUGUGAAACUGAGGCCCAUAAAGAUGUUACAGAAUUAAUGAAGUGCAUCGCAAGUGCUUCAGGUAAUCAAGAUCAAACCCAGUUGAAUGAUGAUAACUACUAUUCUAAUUCUAUGAAGGACGAUAUGCAUACAGAGGGAGUUAAAGUCAGAACAGCUGAGAGAGAAGCUAGCCCAGAAGAAGUUGCAAGUGCCCAUGACGAAGAAUGGCAAAAUUUCACCACAGAACCUGCAUUGACUGGUCAAAGAGAGGGAUUAGAUGCUUUUUUGGAGGAAAUGCAUGCAAUGGAUGUGAUUAAGGACACAAAUGUGGUCGAACGAGAAGAUAUUCCAAGUGGGAAUACUGUCUCACUUGAGAAAAUCUUGAUUAAGGAAGAAGAACGAAUGCCAAGUAGGUGUUCUGCAACUAUUGGAGCUAAAUCGUUCGAAGUUAAAUCAGGUAGCAGAUUCUGUAGUAAUUAAUGGCCUACUUUUCUUUCGUGUUCUUCAUAAUUAUUUGGUUUUUGCUUUUUUUUUUUUUUGUCAUGCAAGGAGUAGCUUAAGAUUCUAAUGAUAGGCCUCCCACCAUUUUUUUUUCUCCUUUAGAGGAAUAAACAAUUCGUAUAUUCUCUCAAUGUCUCGUACGACAAAUUUUUUUAAUAGUUUAGAGGCUGAGAAAUUGUUGUAAGAAUGGUUGUUUUAAUCACUUAAACAGAUGGCUGCUUAGCGAAUGCCUUCAUGUUUUGCAGUGUUACUUGUAACUUUUGCCUGUCUAAUUCCUGAUAGCAACAACCUAACAAGCUGUUGUAUCUACAUGUUUCAAGUCUAUCAACUGUUUCUAUUGUUUUAUCGUUCAAGAUAAAACUUCACCUUAAAAAGUUGACAGUUUUAUUUUAUUUAUUUAUUUGUUUAUUCACAGAACAUAUGCAAGGAAUGAUUGUCAUCUAGGGAGUAACUAACGUGGUUAUUCAUAGUAAGUGAACCACAAAACUGUAUGUCCGAAUUGAUCAACUUCUAUUACCAAGAGACGUGAUUAUUUUUUGUAUGUUUGGAUGCAAUCAUAUUGAUUAGCAGUUAUUAACUUUAUUUUUGUAAAAUAUGAAAUAGGCCAUUCACCAACCUCAGCACCAAUGUGAGAUAACUUGUUAGUGCAUUAGCUCAUGUACUCGUUUUUAUUUUGGAUAUAAAUUGCAUCAUUGGCCUUUUAUUAUUUCUUUCUGCAUGCAUGCUGUUGCUGAGUCUAAUCUCUUCAGCUUAUUACAGGUAAAAGGAAGCAACGGAAAAGUUCGAAUUAUCCAGCAUCUCCUUUGCCUUUCAGCAGCUUCUUUAAGUCUAUUCUUUUCAAGAGGAAAGGAUGGCCAUUGAGAAGAAGGCAAAACAAAUAAUUUAAGGUUAAAUUUCAAAUAUUAUUAUUUUCUUACAUAUGUUCUGCUAGCUUCCAUUCUCACAGUCAACAGUGUUAGUUCUUCUUUUUUCUUUUCAGUUGAAGAUCAUCCCUCUUUUCUUUUUCUGUAAUCAUUAAUUGUUAGUACAGCGAGUGGAGAUGCAGCAAUCCAAACCUUUGUCCAUGUUGAAAAUUGUUCUGACAUUGUAAGUUUAGAAACUUAACGCAUUUUAACUUGAUGGAAACUUCAUGUUUUCUUUUGAAUAUGCUAGUGCUGCAUUAAGCGACGGGCACUAGUGAUGAUUAUAGACUAAUGCCAGGCCCAUGCCCUAGUGAACAUGGCCCUGGCCUGUUCUGGGCCUGAGCCUUCACAUAUAAGGCCCAAAUAUUUAAAUGUCACACUCCAGUGUACAUUGCUGAACAAUGCUCACAUUAGGCGGUUGUUGCAAGCAAACUGUGUUGAAUGUUAUACAUGUUAACUUUCUUAUCAUAUGUGAAAUCUAUGAAAGUAAAAAUCCAGACAUUUCUUACACAUUUUGGUGAAAAUUCUAGGAAUUCAUCAACUGUUCAAGAAGUUUUUUAAUAUUUACGGAAAAUAAACAAAAAACUAAGGAAAUCUAAACAAAUACAGACAUUUAUAGAUAAUAUACAUAAAACUAAGGAAAUCUAAAACCAAUACAGACAUUUACAAGAAAAUUUUCCCUCCAUUUAAGUAGGUUAACAGCGGCAUGGCCUGUGCUAUUUCAUAUUUAGCCUUCUUAACCAGUUUAUGUUCAUUUCUGAGGUCAGAUCAUCUCAGAUUCAACUUUGAAAAAUGUUGUCAAUAUAUUCUGUUAGACUUCCAUAGAAGACCAAAGUGUGCCACUAGAAGAGAAAGACCUUUCUUUUCAGCUUUCCUUCAAAUCACCCAUAUAUCCUUAGGGCAUUCCAUAAACUUGCUGCAAUCUAUUCAUUCACAUCAUAUAUCAAUAUUCCUGUCCCUUCAGCACCCAAAUAGAGAUAAAAAUAGGGCACUUGAAAUUUAGCUCUUAUACUAGUUCUAGUUGCACACACUGAUAAUGUUAAGAUUGGUUUCUCCAUAGUCUUGAUGUGCAUCAACUAACCAAUAGUUGCACACCCACUGAUGGUUGUAGUGGUGUGACUAUUUUCCUAGUUGACCUACGAGAGAAAAGCUUAAAUCUAUAGAGAUUGCAUUCUAUCCUAAUGUUACCACUUGUUUCCAUCAUUAGCUGCGAGUUGCACAUUUUGAUAUUGUAGGAUGAAUAAUAGCUGCCUUGUAUUGAACCCUUGAACAAUUUUUGUUUGAUUUUUUUCAUUUGGACUAAUGUCUGCUAUCUGCUUUAUGGUUAACCGAUUAAAUUUUCAAAGUUCCCACUAAUUGUUUUGUGUCGACUAAUGUGAUCACAUUUUGCAGGCUGUACAUCUGGGGAAAAACUCAAUUGGCCAUCAAAAACUUUUACUCCAAGUGGGAUCUCUCGUUUUCUGCAUGAAGGGGGUCAACAGAUCUUUUAGAAGAGAUGAUGUUUCUGGGUGCGGGUUGACUUUAUCAUGUCGGUUGGCCACGCCACUCAAAGUUGGUGAAUUAGCACUGUCGAGCUAUGUCAGUACGAUACGUAAUUCUUUGGUAGGGCCGCACGAGGGUAUUUUGUUCAUUUUUUUUAAUGAGAAAGCUGUUGAGAAAUAGUCGAUAACCGUGCUCCAUUGGCUUGCUUAGCUGCUGGUUUUCUUACAAGCCAAUCAGCAACUGAAACAGCAUCACCUAUUCAUAACUCAGUGACUGGAGCAACACAAGUUGCCAACGAAUCGGGCAUUGCCGCAGGGUAAGCAUAUUCAAAAGGUAAAUCAUUCCCCCACCAACAUAUUGGCAUACGGUACCUUUGGAGCUGAUCAUCGAAGUCUUUAAUUCGUUGCGAAAAAGACUGCCCUUUGACAACAUAUGUUGGUUAUCUAUUGUUCCAGCAAACUUGCAUGAUUUUCUCCCAAACACUUGCUUAGAAGCCAAAUUUGAGUGGCAUGAUUAGUAUAAAGCUUGUUUGGUCGUAAUUAUUAAGUGAGAGAGUUGUCGAGGAUAUUCUCGUGCACUUAAAUGAGAUUAGAACACUAGUGAUUCACGAGGAAAUGAUUAUGCAUUCAUGGCUCCUAUUAGCGAGAACUAAUCCCUUGCUUUCCGUUUUAUCUUUUCUUUUCCCUUUUGGUUCAUGGGGAUCCUUUCUUUUUUCUUGAUGGGGUUAAGUGGUGGGGGCCUCUCUUUCCCAUGUAGUCAAAAUGCAAGAUGAGUACAUGCAUACUCUGAGGUGCUCUAAAGUUAUGGAGACUAGGGAAAUAUUGGGUGGGUUUUAAGGUAUAUUUGGAAAUUAAUAUUGUGACAGGAUAAGCUCACUGUUUUUAGGUAUUCUUUUAGGAUGCUGUGGUAAAUUAUGCUCGAUAUUUUUUUUCCUUUUCUCACAGGUCCAGUGUCGGAGUCCAUGGUAGAGGAUUAUUUUAUUUUAUUUUUUUUUACGGUCAUUUUGCACAGUUCUUUGGCUAUUUUGUCAUUUCAAUAUGAUAUAAAUCAUUUUGUUGGUGAAAUAUUAGGGUGCAUUAAAUUCAAUUUAUAGAUUAUGGUCACAAAAGAGGAUUUGCUAUAAAAUAGUUCUAUCAUUGAACACUUUUGUUAUGAUUAGACACUCAAAAGAGGUGGUGGAAAUCUGGGGCUUGCGCGAUGACUUGCCUGUCUAUUCAUUUCAUGGUGCUUUCUCUCUCUAACCACUCUGUUUGUGCCUGUCUCUCUCUCUAAAGCGGUUUGAUCUUCAGAAACUUUGAGAUUAGAUGGAUUUUUACCUUCGCACAGUUCUUGUGAUUGCGGCAUUAACUCUUUUUUUUUUUUUUUUGAGAGAGAUAGGUAGCACGAUACCCAUUUCGUUUAUUUUAUUUAGAAAUAAACUUAGUUGAAAAUGUAAAUCAACUAUGAUUCAAACUUGGGUCUCGGGUACCAACCACCAAGCCCUUUGCCACUUGCUCUAGGGACCGUCGGUGGCGGCAUUAAUUUUUUUAUGUGUUGGCAUGUAUGAUGCACAGAAUGUGUACCUGUAAGUCAGAGUUCUUGAUCUUUUUUUUUAUUGCGUAUUGGGCUAUAGAGAGUGUGCUUUCAAUAAUGUUAUAUAUUUUUGAUUUAUUUAUGUUUGUGCCGCCGAAAGCGCUGUAAAGAUUUGUCAAUAUAUCAACAGCCUACAGAAAAACUAUUGUGGCAGAUGUGAAAAAGCACUUUUGUUUAUCACAUUGAUAGAAGGAAUGGUGCGUGUUUAUCACAUUGAUAGAAGGAAUGGGUGUGUGUGUGUGUGUGUGCACCCUGAUGCAAUCUUAGGAUUGAUUUUGACAAAAAGUCUUAUCAGAUCAAGACACACAACACAAGUUCGGGAGUUGACCAUUCCGUUGACGAAGCCGCAAUGUGGACCCUCGUUUUGUUGAUUGAGGUUUGUGUCUACUUUUGGUUGGUGACUUUUUAUCUGUAUCUCUCUCGCAACCCUAAGUGGUGGGUUAGGGACCAGUUGAUUGAUUCUUCUAUCGCAGAACACAUGGCACGCUUUGACUUUGUUGUUUUAGCCUUUUUUACUUUAAGAAAUAAGUGUUUGUUGCUUUGUUUAUUUCCUUUUUGGCAUCAUAAUUUUGUGCGGGGAUGAACUAAUCCCUGUCACAAAGCUUAGCUUUGGUACUCUAAUUUCUACAAACACACUCCAUCUUAAUUUACUUAACGCAGGAAUGAUGCUGCAUUUCCUUAAUCGCCUCAUUAUCCCAAUCGACUGCCAUGUCAUCUUUUAUUUAUGUCUGAAUUAGAAUUAUGUCGACCCAAAUGCCCCCGUGCCGUUCCUGAAAAUUUUACAUGAAAAUCUAUCUAAUUCUAAAACUGAUGUGCCUGCAUGGAAUUUGCCUUUCUUUAUAUGUAAAUAAAGAAUUAGGCUGGAAUACUAUCAAUAGCACUAAGCUGUUGGUGUUAUUAGUUUUUUAACCCUUGAAUUAAGAGAUUUGUAGUUAGGAUGAUGUGAACCUUCUAGAGUUGAGUGGAUGGUUGGUUGAAUAGUAUAAUCUAACGGGUAAAAAUAAUCAAAGGGUUAAAUUUAACGGUGGAAAAUUCGAUAAUACAAAGUCCUUGGUGCUAUCGGUAGUAUCCCAGCCGGACUCUGUAAAUAAAUGUUUAAAGCAAAUCUCUCUCUCUCUCUCUCUCUCUCUCUCUCUCUCUCUCUCUCUCUCUCAUCUUUCUAAAGAGUACUGCUACAGAUUCCAUAAAAUAAUGCGCUUAUCAAUUGUUAAUGAUAUAUAAUAUAAGUUUAGUAAAGUUAUGCAUAGGGUGCAAAUUAAGACAUGGAUUUUAGCAAUGUAUAAUCCUCUGCGGGUAAUUGGAAAGCAUUAUUCCUUUUUGUAAAUUAGUGAUGAAGAGGGUCGAAGCAUAAUAGAAGAAUAAAGGGGGCACAAACCUUUAUAUUAUACUAUCUCUUAAUACUCAACAAGUGUACACAAAUUACUAAGCUUUAUUUCCUUCUUUCUCUCGUACAUAAGAAGAUACUCUAAAAGCUGCACAGCAACAUCUUUUUUCCGUACCUCACUCCAUUUUGGAACCCAGAGAAAAAAAAAAAAAAAAAAAAAAAAAAAAAAAAAAAAAGCCUAAGCCUCAAUUUGAUGUUAGAUUCUCACAUAGCCUAAUGCUUAAUUUUCUAACUCCACCUCUAAAAGGCAGCUUUUUAAAAUUUGAGCUUUUAAGAUAUGGCAAAUUCCAAUCAAAUGGGCAUAAGAAAAGGAAUUUUUGUUCCUUUUAUGGAGGAUCAGUUGUGGUGAUUUUAGGUAACUUUGGACUACCUUUAAUGUCACUGUUUUAUGGUCAAUAAGUUGUAUCAUACAGGGGCCAUUCAAAGACACUGUUGUGCUUUAUUUCAUUAAUUAGAUUGAGUAUAAUAGGCUACGAAAUUAGCUUAGCCUAAUUUAGGGCUUGUUUAGCCCAACUAAAGUUUUUAUUACAAUUGCGCUAGUUUUCUCCCUUUUUUUUUUUGGUUCAGCUCGCAACAGUUUUGAGUAAUGGUUUCGAGGGCUCAGAUAAGUCCAAAAGCUUAUGACUAAUGGUAUAUUACCUAUUAUUUUAAGUGUGUAGCGCUACUAUACUAUCAGAACUAUAGAGAGUUUUAUGUUUCCGACUUUUUGACCCUUGAAUCAAGAAUUGUACGAUUGAGAUGAUUGCAGUCCCUCCAAGGUUGAGUAGUACUCCUAAGGUUGAGUGAUUCCCACAGGAUAAUAGUAUUAAUCCAAAAGUUAAAAAUGAUCAAAGGGGUUGAUCUAAGGGCCAAAAAAGUCGGAAGCACCAGAUCCUCUAUGCUUCCGACAGUAUAGUGACAGUAUAGUAGCUCUACUCAUUUUAAAUUAAACUCUCAUAUUAUUUUAAAAGAUUUUAUAUUAACCAAAAAAAAAUUAGAGCGGAGAAAGUCUCUCACAUUAUUAUAUACAUAACAAAAUUUAUAUUUCUAACCAAUGAUAAAAUUUAUUAUUAAUUUAUUAUUCUUGGCUAAAUAGUUUUGAAUUUAUUGUGGAUUGGGAGGUGCUUUUUUUUUAAUCAACACUUUACCUUUUUUAUCCCCUUUUGCAGAAGAAUAUUUUUAUUAGAUUCUUUCCUGUUUCUUUUUCUCUCCCACUAAAUUCAUUGUUUGUCCAUUCACUUAAACAUGUAAAAUCAAUCUUAGGGUAAUUUCUCGCAUGCCCUUCAAAAAUAUUAGUCUUUUAAAUUUACCUAAAAUUUCAAAUCUCUCUCUCUAAAAUCCAAAAUCUCUCAAGGACAAAAAUAUAUUGGGAAGAAACUAACAUUGUUCCAGAGGUAAAUUUGAACAUAUACGUAUCAAAUUUUGCAGGGCAUAUAAGAUAUUAUUUGUAAACUUUUUAUAUGGACAUAAAAAAUAGUUAGUAUUUGUUUUUAAAAUUUUUUUUUUGAGAAAGAGAUGAUAAGCAAAUAAUAAGUGAUUCACACUAGGGCUGUAAACAAGUGAAACAAGAGCUGGUUUGUUGAAACAUCGAGCUGAAAAUCCAACUCAUGUUCAACUUGUUUAUUAACAAACCAAAUCCUCGUGAACAGCAAAUUAGAUUGUAAUGAAAAAUUAAAAGAAGAUUAGAAUAUUAGAAUAUUAAUCUAAUAACUGAUACGGGUUUUUUUCACACUCAUAAGUUUCUUUAUAUUCGGAUUGGGCCUAAAAACCAAAUGGUAAAAAUUUGUAAUAUAAAUUCAAGUUAUAUCGAGCCGAAUACGAGUGAGCUGACUCUAAUUUAUUUUCUGCUUGCUCAUUAAAGGAAUGAUGAUCAAUCUCAAACUCAUAAAGUCAAACACGAGCUGGCUCGCGUACAGCAAGCUGGAUUGGCGGUCCUAGUUUCCGCGAUGCAUAAUUACUCCCAGAUUGGACCCCACAAACAGGCACAAAAUCUACUGGGGGCCCAGCUAAGCCCAGUGGGCCCCACUCAAUGGUCAACCAAACUCACAUCUCGGCGUCACUCUCUAGUCACUGUGCACGGUCACUGGGCCCCACAUAUUACUUUUUGUGUCUUAAAUUUUCCACUUAAUUAUAAAAACCUUCUCUGCAGUUUGCUUCUUCGGUGUCUCAAAUAUUUUUCUAUAUAAAAAGAUUUAAAUAAAUAUUAAUCUUAUAUUUAAAUUUUAUGCCAAGUAGAUUCAAUAGCUUACAAAUUCGGUUACCUUUUGACUCUUGUCUAUGUAAAUGUCUCUUAUCCGUGUACAUGAGUUACAGAGUAGUACACAGCUAGAUAACUUUUAAUAGUGAAACUGUACAUCAGGAUUGGCGAAGCCGGAGCUUUUUGUGUAUUAUUUAUAUUUGAGAGUUUUGAUUAUAUGUACAGGAUUGUUUGGUAGUUUUAGUUAGUUUUUAUAUUGCUCUGAUACAUGGUUGUUUGUUAGUUGUGGAUCCUAGAGUUGCUUUGCUACUGUUUUUGUUGUACGCUUUGUGCGGAUCAAAAAAGCUCCGUCCAUUCGAGGAGACUAUGCACGUGCCCGGAAGGCUUCUGCUGUGAAAUUGGAAUAUGGUAGAUUAUGUUGGUAUUAAAAAAAAAAAUACUAAUGAUCCGACCGUCCUUAGCGCAAGUGACAAAAGGGCUUGGUAGUUGAUACCCGAGACCCAAAUUCGAAUUCUAGUUGAUCCACAUUUAUAGCUAAAUUUAUUUCUAAAUGAAAUAAACGAAGUAGGUAGCAUGCUAUCUUUCUCUCAAAAAAUGAUCUUGACGUGACAAAUUAUUUGCCAUUAUAAAUAUUUAAAUUCUCACACGUGAUGAAGAGAAUCCCUCGUGUGAAUAUUUUUUCAUAAUUUUUUUUAAAAUUUUGAUACUUGAAGAUAUAACUGAAUGAGUUUAAUUGGCUUAAAAUGUGCUAUCUCUCAAAAUUAAUGAAAAAUUUUAAAAUAGAAUAACCUUUUUGGGAUAGAACUAAAUUGUAGAAUUAACAUUGUUUUAAAAAAUAUGUUGGAGAUAUUUAUUAAGACACAAGGUAAAUUUUGAAUAUAAUUAAAAAGAUAAAGUUUUGACAGUAGAAUGAUCAUUUUUUUGUAAGAAAAAAUCAACUUUAACCGGUGCAUUAAAGGAGAAGAAUAUAAUUGCAACUAACCAUUGUGUAGAAAUAAAUAAAUACACAAAUUCACAAGUUCGAGGAGUAAAAGCAGAGGAGGCCAAAACGUUAGGGGCUAUGAUGCAAUUUUAUGGCCUUCCAAGUUCCAAUCAGCGUGUUAUGCCGCUAUAAAAGCCGCACGCCUCCCCAUUCCCCUGCCCUGCUCUUCAUCUCUCGCCCCCACCCCCAGAGCGCGAAAAUUAAAGCGACGCGCACGCCAUGUUCCCCUGCUCCUGCUCCUCCUCCUCCUCCUCCUGCGACUUCCUCGACUUCAACCCCGCGCCAGUGCGCCGCGUCUACAGCACCGGGGACCUCCAGGUACCACCUCUUCGAUCCCCUCCCUCAAGAUCCCGUUUUGAUUCAGGAAUCAGCGUCAAAAUCGCACCUGUUUGAUCCGAUUUGGAAACAGGGGAUGAACGGGUUGCAGGUCUCGGCGGCGGAGAGCUACAACAUCAAUGGCCACGAGGGGGGAGGGAUUGGAGGGCGCGUUGGGCGCUACAGCGCGGAGGAGAGGAAGGAGAGGAUCGAGAAGUACCGGAGCAAACGCAAUCAGAGGAACUUCCACAAGAAGAUCACUGUACGUUUGUUUUUAUGCAUUCACCACACAAUUUCACACUCUUUUAUUAAUUAAUUACUAUAAGAGAGAGAGAGAGAGAUUUUAUUUUCUUUUUUAAAAAACACACACACACACACACACAAAAAUUAAUGUGUGCAUGUGUUGCGUGUAUAGUACUAUAGUUUUGUUUUUGUGGCCGGAGAUGGAAUAAGCAAAUACAUAAAGAAAAGUUACUAAUGUGUUUAAGUGAAAAGUUUUUACAGAGUAAAUUGUAGCAUCAGGGUAGUAGUACAUAUAAGUAUUUACACACACUUCCUCCUACUUCAAUUUUGAGUUCUUAUACUUUUUCUUUUUCUUUUUCUUUUUUUUUUUUGGUUUCUCUCUCUCUCUCUCUAUAGUAUGCUUGCAGGAAGACAUUGGCCGAUAGCCGGCCGCGAGUGAGGGGCCGGUUCGCGCGAAACGGUGAGCCAGAGAUGGAGACGGAGGUGGAGAUCGAGACGGAGGCGGCGGAGAACGGGUAUUAUGAGAAUUUCGACUACAACGUCUGCAACAACUACGACCAAACACAAAACAGCGGCGGUGGCGGCAGCGAGAAGACACUAGCGGAUAGCUGGCCGCGAGUGAGGGGCCGAUUGGCGCGGAAUGUGGAGGCGGAGAUGGAGGUCGAGACGGAGGCGGCGGAGAACGGGUAUUGUGAGAAUUUCGGCUACAACAUCCACAGCAGCUACAACCAAACGCAGAACGGUGGCAGUGGCAACGACAGCAAUACACAGUGGGGGCCUCAGACUUCGGCAUUAACAGACGAGGAGGAGGAUCGCUACUACGUCGGCGAUGAGCUAUGGGUCGAGUUUGGCGACGUGUUCUCCGUGAACUUUCUCUCUUAAAAGUUAACGCGGACGAGAAAGAGAGGAGCGAGAAAAUAAGAAGAGAGGGAUUAGUGGGAUGAUUUGGUGUAAUCGUACUUAGCACGUAAGUAGAGAGAGAGAGAGAGAGAGAGAGAGAGAGAGAGUGUGUGUGUAGAGAGAUAGUUGGGGAUGUGGCUGCAACCUUAAAAAGCAGUAGCUUUUUGGUUGGGUCUGAGACGUCGCUUACUUGCUCUCUCUUACUGCUUCUUUUGACUUUUUUUACUCUUCCUCCAUAAAAGGGGCUUUUUAUACUCCUAGUCCAAUGGAGCCUAUUGAAUUAAAUAAUAUUUUUAAUAAUUAACUAUAAUAUAUUUAUUCUGUCAAUAAUAAAAUUUAUUUUUUUAAAAAAAUAAUUUUCUUAACUCCAGUGCUAAAUAAGGACAUUUUUUUUAAUCUAUUGUGUUAGUAACUAUUCAACAAAUAUAUUGUUGGAUUUUUGAGUCUCGAAGAUUGCGGCGCCUCUUAAUCCAAAAAAUGAAGACACGAAAAGUUUUCCCGCGAUGAGACAGCCUAAUCUCCCAUCCAUCAUACAUAGAAACUUAAAUACAGAGGAAUAGUUAGUAGAUUACACCGUCCCACCGUGACGACUGACAAUGGUAGCAGGCUACUGUUUCAUUUAUUUUUUCUAAAAAAACUUAGUUAAAAAUAUAAAAUAGUUAUGUUUUUGGAUUUGAAACUUGGAUUACCAAACCAAUCAUGAAGUUUCGGGUCACCACCUUUUGAAGUCAUUUAAGUCAAUUUGUACCUGUGUUUUCAUGUGAAGCAAUUUGGAUAAGGGAAUCCCCUUUACAUGUUUCCCUAUUUGUGGUUCACAAGAACUCAGGUGAUGUGGUGGGUUUCUAUUCACAAUCCCUUUGAUGGAGAUAACUCUCUUUUACAGCUCCGUUUUACCAGCCCCUCAGUUACUAAUCUUGUGCUCUCAACAGCUACAAUUUUAUAAUGCCAACCUCAACUUUCAAUAUCAUUUUAUUUUAUUUUCUUAAAAUAGUCAUAAGAUGCAGUCUUAAUUUGGCAUCAUUACCUCUCUUUUUUUUCCCCUAAAAAAUUCUAUAUAAUUUAAUGUAUUGGUGGAUAGUUUUUUUUUUUUUUUUUAAAGAAAAAUUAUUACACUUGAUUAGCUUGUAAUAAGAGUUGAUAGAUUCUUCAAAAAAAUUAUAGCAGUGAAAAAGAUAAUUUUAAAUUUUCAUCUACUAUUGUCAGAUGAAAAACCUUAGAUGUAAAUACUGCAAGUAAUUCACUAUCCACUCUGUCAUUAUUUUAUUUUAUAUAUUAAGAAAAUAAACAAUGGCUAAUAUAAAAUUCUAUUAUGAUUUAAAAAAAGAUAGUUCUCAAUUAUAGAAGCUUUAUUCUCUAUCUUUUGUAAGUUAACAAAAAAGGAAUUACCAGAGAUUCCAUCUCAAAAUAAUAUCCUCGGAACAAAUCCUACCAUCCACAGUAAAACAUGUAUGCCAACAAUAUUCCUCUUUGCUCUCUUAUUAACUUUAAAAUUAUGGUCCUACCUCUUUAAUUUCACGUUCAAAUGCUUGCACGUAUAAUCAAAUUGGUGUGAUACAAAAUUUUAUACCCAAUUUUUUUUAAAAAAUAAUUUUCUAAAUAAUAAAUUCCUCAGCUGCUGCACCUCCACAUAACACAGCUUGUUGAGAAUCCGAUACUCUCCCCGGUACCGAAUUUUGUGAAUCCGCAACCCGCUCCGAUACUGACUGUACCGAUUGUUAGGAUUCCGUAACGGAAGCGUCGAAUCAGAUUGGAUUCAACUAACAGCUGUCCCUCUUGUGAACCGCCAUGUGUACACCAUUUUGUGGAAAGUUUAAGUCUAAUAAUAAUAAUAAUAAUAAUAAUAUAUAAAGAUAAUAACUUUUGUUUAAUAGAAAGAUGCGAACAAGCAUCCCGUGAAAUCUCAAUAUCCCAUUAAUGGAGUGCAACAUCGUUCAGGGCUUUCUAAAUGAGAGACAAAUGUAACUAUCAAUUGUUCCCAAAUAACUUGAUCGAACAACUGUUUUAACAUCAAAUUCUAAACACUAAAUUGUAGACAUAAUUAAAUUCUACUGUAUUAGUUCUUAUAUCUCCGAAGAUAUUGAAUCUAAAUGCUGUUCAUAAGUAGUUUUGUUAGUUUUGAGAAUAAGAGCAUAAAAAAAAGCUGCGUAUUAUAAAGUCUAAGAUUUUUUUGGGGCCAAUGAAUGAAGGAAAAAAAAAGAAAAAAAAAGAGAUUGAUUCGGUUUAGGAACAACUUUUACUAGUUAUGAUAGGAAAAAGAUUAUGCUCCCUUCAAUGUAGGGACUAAAAUAAUAAAGGAUAUUACUAAUUAUGAUAGCUCCUUUUUGGCUUCACCCACUAUCCCUUACUCUACUAUUAUUAUAGUCACAAUAAUAAUAAACAAAAGUUAGCUAUUUUUUGACAAAUAGAAACACAUAUUAAGGCAGUGGCUUUAUGAAAUUUCUCAAUAGGAUUUAUAUCUAACAAAUCAUAUUAAAUCACGUGAAACGUUGAGGAGAUAACUUUGAAGAAAAGAAGUUAAAAUUUCUACAUAAUAUAAUUUUUUUCACUGUGUCAUUAGAAAAAAAAAAAACUAAAUAUGUGCGGACUCUUUGUUCGAGUGCCAAAAAAGAAAAAUAAUAUAAUAUUUGCAACAGGAAUUAAAAAAAAUUGGUUUAAUGGAGCUUUAAUAAACUAGAGGACUUUGAUGAUCAACAUCAUGAUUGGAUAUUCGAAAAAGGGUAUUUUUAACGCCCCAUUAUUAAUUAAGAAAUAAAGCAUGGUAAUUACAAGGAUUCUGGGGCUCAGAUUCUACCACUCAUGGGUGGACGCGUGAAGUGAUUUCAUUGGUCUUCUAAGUUACAUGGUCAAAUAUUUCAUAUAUAGAUAUAGAUACAUUAGCAGGCCUACUACCUAAGUGACAUAAAAUUCCUACAAUAAAUUCCCAAAAAAAUAAAAAAAAAACUUAUACCAGAGCAUUAUAAUUUGAUUUUUGGUACCAUUUUGAUCUACGCUAUUAAGAUUGCGGUCAACGAUCAUGGAUAAAAUAUCACCCAGAAAUGACCAAAAUCGGAUUCAAAUCCAAAUCUAAAUGAGACCAUGGAUAAUUUAUUUGAGAAAGGAAAAGAAAAAAAAGGCCUAAUAGAGAAAAUCUCUAAUCAAUGAGGAACCUUCACCUUUUUUGGUUAAAUAUAGCAGGGUUCUAAUGCUCUCUAGCAUUAUGUGAUCAUGCUUAAAGAAAUAAUAAAGCUUCUCAUUGGCCACUUUGUCCCACUACAAAGUGGCACAUAAAUGUUUAAUCCAAGUACAAAAAGAGAGGGUGCCCUUACUCACAUGAAGGCCAAUCUCUAUUACUCUCUAACUGCAUUGUCCUUUAGAAUAGGGCAAUGAGUGGUGUGCUAUCGAAUGUAAUACACCAAAAUAAUCAUUCCCUCGCCGCAUAAGCUUUUUAAAGUAAUUAGUUUUUUGUUUUUUCCUCAUGGUUUCAGAACAUAAGUUUUUGAGUUCAAACAUCUGGAAUACAAAUAUGUGGAGUGUUAAAUAUAAUAUACUAAAUAAUUGUUCUUGUUUCUCUGGUCUCUUUUUCCAAGAAGUUCAAAAUUCCAAGGACAUGAAGAUACAGGGAAGCAGAACAGCAUUCAAACACAAGAUUUGUUACUUUAUCUAGAGAAGCAGAGAACUUAAAAAUGCUUAAUCAAUAAAUGGAAUAUCACUUUAAGCAAAGGCUAUGUGGUCAUGGAGAGAGUCAUGGAGGCUCCCUAGAGGUGAGGAGUGUAGCUCCCUUAUUCCUUGUCGGCCUCUAUAAUGGAGGGCACUCCCCCUCUUCUAAUCUUAAGGUAAGGGAAAAUGUACUAGGAGUACUUGGCCCUUUGAUGAAGUUACAAUUUGAUCCCUAAUAUUACUUAAACAAAUAAGUAUUUGAACUUAACCUAUCUUUCUUUAUUUGACGUCAUUGUAGCUGAUGAACUGUUUAACUAAACUAACAAACGAUGUCGACUUCUAUAAGUCGAAUAUUUACGUAUGAAGUCACAAGAACUUAAGAAGCAAUAUGUGUAAGUGAUGUUAAGGAACUUAGGGCAGUUAGUGCCUCUCUCUAUUUUGGCACCCACUGCUUAGAUAUCAUUAUUAUGUUUUUGGGGCAAAGAAAACUGUGCAAGCCGCCGCCGACGCCAACGAGGCUUCACAGAGGCUCAAGCACUAGUGGGUUAAAAAGGCACCAAGUUGUCGUGCUCUUCUUUUUCUCCUAAAUUAGUUUUCAAACCAACUUCUAGGAGUACCAGGGGAUUCAAGGGUUUUAGGCAUAGGCCUACACAAUGAUGAGGGAGAUUAUUCAAUUUGCACAAGCACUUCAACUUUUCCCUCAAGGUGCCCACCAAGAGUUUUAGGUGUUCAAGUGGUGGAAGAAAGAAUCAUAUGAGGUGUUAUGUCCAUUGUAUUAACUUACAAAGAACAAUGGAGCCCUCAUACAUAAAAAGUGGGCUUUUGUUUAAUCUUAGAAUCUCAAGUAAAACUCAAUGCUAUCUGUGAGCAACAAAAGCAAGCUCUUGGAUGCUAAUGUUGACUAGGUAUAAUAAAUUAUGCUAUUCAACAUGCCCCCACUGAACCCUUGACUAAAGUUUGACUAUUUUGUCUCUAAAUUUGCAAGAAAGGAUCCUCCCUUCGUGCGCUUAAGGAUCACACUAAUUAAGUAUUAUUGGGCUUAAAAUUUAUGACUGAAACAUGAUAGGUUGGACUGGGAAUUUCAAUCAAUGAACAGGGUUACGAUUCCAUUUAAAUUGGAAUAUAAAAAUGAUUAGGUUCGGUCAUUCAAGGGACAGAAAAGAGUCGCAAAGAUCUAUCAUAUCUAAUCAUAGCAAGAAGCAGUAUCCAAAAAGUAAUCAAUAAAAAUCGUCGCAUGUCAUACUUUACAUUAGCAACUAGGGAAAAUUUAAAUUUGCUACUAAGUGACUAUGAAAGUUACCUAGGUUGAGAAGGUGACGCCCAUGUGUUUGCUACAUCUUUUGCCUUGUAAGUUUUCCCUGAAGACAAAAGAGAAAGGAACAUGGAGGUGAAAUAAUUAGAUGAGCCAUAAUCAUGCAAUAUCUUAUUAUUUAUCUAAUGCUAAUAAAGGUAUUUACAAAUAGAACUACACAUCUCAACUAAGAGGUGCAAAGACACAUCUCAACUAGGAGGUGCAAAAGUUAUUCUAAUAGUUUCUAUAAGCCAUAGACAAGCAUAUUAAGUACCACAGCAUUUGCUGCAUUUCAAUAAUAUGGGGCCCAUCAUGAGGCCUAAGUAUAAUGGGCCAGUUGUCGACGGGCUACGUUCUAGACUCAACAAGGGAACCACAUGUGGCUCUAUGAUAAGCUAUACUAGAGUAUUAAGAAUAAACACGAGUUACCAACUACAUUUGUGAAUUUGAGCUUUCAAUAAAAGAAUCAGAUUAAUCUGCAAAGGCAGCUUUUAUUGUUCAGGUUCAACUGCAGAUCUUGGCUAGGAUUUUAUAAAAGCUGCACCAUUACCAAGAAUAAACUAGAUGCAAAAAAUAACUUAAAAACCAGGCAUUUCAGUUUCAAGCUUGUCCACCAAAAUAGGGUAAGGGGGAAAAAAUACAGAAACUGAAGCAACAUGAAGCAGCUCAACAAUUGCCCUACAUUUUCAGAAAAUUUUUAGUCAUGCAAGGGCAAAAUCUAUUUCAAGCAGAAACUCAAACAAGUCCACCAUUAUAAACUGAGUCAGCAAUAUCAGGCGGGUUUUCACAUAUUUCCACAAAUAUUUCACACAAACUACAAAACUGCAUUAAAAAAUGCCAUUUUAUUCCUCACGAACAUAAUGGAAAACCUAGUAUAAAAUUUAUAAACAUAGCAUUACUUAAACCAAACAAAAAUGAGAUAAUAGGACCUUGGAGCCCAAAAAAUAUGAUGCCGCACUUAACAACAGUGCACCAUACAAGCUUUGAUGGAGUAUUCUCUACUAUGGUCAACCUCUCUUACUCGAAUGCAGGCAUGAAAGAAAAAGUAAAUGCAAGGUAUUAAUCUUCAUCCUUCUUCGGCUUCCUAUAUGUUUCUUCAAUGUGCUUUGCCACAAACAUCCAAGUAUUUAUGAGCCUCUUUACAUUUGGGACAUUGUAAUUUUGAGCAAUGUAUAUGCCACAACCGGUUCCCAACAGGAAAGUGAAGCUGCUCCUGAUUAUCCCCAUUGGCAGUUACUCUACAAAGAAAUUUGUAAAAAGAAAAAUAUCAGUUUGUCUCAUUUCCUAGGAGGAGGAAUAAGUAAUCGCGCAAAAGCAGCACAUGUUUGUCAAAUCUCAAUUAAUAGGUAGUAAUGGGAAAAUAUUGUUACUUUUAUUUAGCCAUUCAGGCCGAAUUCUGGAAAAUAAAGGAUAGUAGGUCUUUGCCACGACUGUAAUGCCGAGGACUCCACUCUAAAUUUUUGUUAUUGUAAGUAAAUGUGUAUAUCAUUUCACUUUCAAGAAUACAAGUCCGAGUGAUAUAGAAUGACAAUUAAUCUAAUAAGAAUAUUACUAAUAAGAAAUUAGUUGAACGAAAACCACCUCUGACGGCGACUAGAGAUGUUCAUUGGUAAUUUUCUAAGCAAGUUGCAGAGACCAUUAAGGGAAAAGGCUAUACAAUGAUGCCAUGUUCUAUUUGCAUAUAGAGAGAAGAAAAUAAAGCUAUCACUAAGUGCCAACCUCAUCCCUAUUCACAUAGUUAAAAUUAUCAAUAGAAUUUCAUGUAGCUUUAUAGAUGGAAUAAAUUUCAUCGUGCUCUCUGAUUUAAUUCCACCUCAAAAGCUCCCAUACUAGAAGCAGAAGUCAUUAACUCAUUAUCUUCCAUGAUCUAUUCCUAGUCUACAAGGUUCUUUUGUGGGUUGCUCUUCAUAGAUUAAAUAAACACCAACCAGAAAGUCAGAUCACCCUAAUCUGCCACUAAAAUUAAGUGCCCCUUUGGAUGCUAAAAUAAGUGAAUAACUUGUAUUUCUUUUUCAACAAAGAAUAGUUUGUACUUGGUUAUUUGGACUUAGAAGCAAAAAAGUAUGUUCAGAAAUGAAUUAAAAAGGAUUAGUAACUCUGAUUCUUAAGGAUAUGAUAAACCAUCUUGCAGCCGAAUGCACUACCUUAAAAAGUCAUGACUAUUAGGGUCUUGAAAAUUGAAUGUGUUUAGUUCUUGUUUGGCGCCACUUCUACUUCUAUUUUUCCUGUUAGUCACAUUUGGAAGAGCUUUUUGCCAAAAAAAAAAAAAGAAGAAGAGAAAGUCCAGAGCUUUUGCUAUAGUGGCAAACUGGAAUAAGAUCACAAAUGCCAGAAGCUCCAAUUUUGGAGCUUUUUCUUAGCUAGCAACAAUAAACGAUUGGCAGAUUUUAAUAUAGUACUUCAAAUAGCACUACUCAAACAACAAUCCAGAAUCCACUGAAUAACACCCCCACACAAUAGGGUCAAACAGACCUUUAGACUCAAAAUAGUUACACCAUAACCAACAAUGGAAAACCCCACAUAUCCAGCACAUGUUAUCCCUGUAUAAUUUGUUUUGGUAUCCAAACAGAUCUUUAAUGUUAUGCAGUGGGUCUCUUGUGUAUUCUCUUUUCACCACUUUCAUCAAAGUUGAUUGGUAAUGCUUAAUCCUUAGAUAGCACCUCGUUAAUUUGAUAAGGUACACUAUAACCCUACCAUUAUUAGCACAAAUCCACUACCUUAACCAAAAGCAACAUUUGCCACUCAUAAGCACCUAUUUUCCUGAGACUACCUCCAAUUCCACUACAAAAUGUAUGCUUAAACUUCUUGGAGAUAAAAAUCAAAAAAAUAAAACAUCUCAUGAUUAUACCCCUAUAUAGUCACUGAUUAGGCUCUAAGCAAUUGCUCCUCUGGAAAAAGAUGAGGAUCAUAGUUUUUUCUUUUUUCUUUUUUACGUCUCUGUAACAUGUAACCAUAAAUCCAUACACAUCUAAAAUCUCAAAGCUAGUCUAUGAUCCUCAAUUUACCCAAUAUUAACUGAAUCACCUUAACCAAUACUUACUCUUUGCUCUUCCACAUUAACAAGCCGAAAAUACAUAGAGUUUAAACUAAAUAAAAAUGGGGAAAAUAAUCGAAACCCCAAUCGAUGCCUUUGACCGAUGCUAAGAGAUCGAAACGACGAUGCGUCAUCAUCUGUAACGACCAGAUGCAUCAUCAUCUGUAACGACCACAACAGAUUCCGAGUCGAGGAUCGAGUAAAAGGAACAUAACCUAGAUCGAACAGAUAAGAAGCAAACCAAAUCGAAGCAGACGAUGAGGUAUAUAUUAAGUGGAAGGGAAACUUCGAGAUAUUACGAAUCACGCUCUCCGGUGGGGCAGAGGGAUCGCCGGAGCCGGAGAAGACGAAGACGGAGGCGCCGGCGGAGAGGAUUCAACGCGGAAGCUUCCCCAGAGACUCAAUUUAAACUCUCAAGCACUUAAAGGGCCUACUUUGCCCCUCGUAUUAGUGGGCCUUUAGUGGGCCCCAUAUUAAAAGCCCAUAAAAUUAGUUUGUGUAUAAUUUGAUUUUUAUGCGGACAAUAGGAAGAGGCCCAAGUUCCAGCUGCGAAGAAAUUAUUGACCGCACCCGGUGCAUAAAACACAUUGUGCACCGUGCUCUCUGAGCCCUCAAUAGUUGGAUGGUUUAGACUAGGAGCAUGCUAACAAAAGUGAGCGACUGAAGCAGGUGCACAAAAUACACAUAUGCACCAGGUGUAGGCAAUAAACUCUGCCAAGGUGCAUCUUGGGCCGAUUGUGUUACAAAUAUCACAGUUACGAAUAUUUCUAUUUCUCAGAUACAUAUUAUUUUAUUUUAUAAUUAUAUCAAAUUAUUAUUUCAGAUACCUGGGGUUAACUAAUCGUGUUACAAAUAUCACAGUUACGAAUUAUUUUCUUUGCAAAUUUGAUGCGAGAAAACCAAGUAAUGAGACCUCAAAUAUAGGUGUUUUCCAUGGGAAUGAAAAUGAAUAUACUUUGUCAUGUGCUCUCAACAACAGAUAUAUAUAGUACUACAUGAAAUGAAUGAAUAUAUUAUAUUUGCUCACGAAAAAUAAGCUAUGUGAAAGAAAAAGGAUCCAUACACCAAUCAUCUACAUGCCUACUACACAAGAAGCCCUUCCCCUUUGGAUAAUGCGCGCUAUUGCAAUGAAUCGAAGAAUACUAUAUCUAUCAGAUUUUACAGAUGGUGGUGUAGCUUUUGUUAUCGACGAAGAACUGAGCUCGCUAAAAGCAUGCAAAUUUCCCUCUUUGCAUAUGAAAAAUUGCAUCCGAUGAUGGUCCUUCUCCUUGGCUUGCUGCGAACAGAAAAAGAAAAAGACGAUGUCAAUGAUCCGUCUAAGCAAUUCAUACAAUGAGAAAUGGAGAAAAAAAACACUUUAUUUUGCAGUAGAAAUAGUAAAAGGGCAAGAUUUUUUACCAAAAUAUGACAAAUUAAGAAAUGAUAAUGAAGUAAAAUGAGUGAAUUAAGUAUAUGCCUGCAUACCUAAGUAUAUCAACCUCUAUUCCUGCAGAAGGUGCUGUACCAAAUGCCUCUAAAUGAAAUUCAAGAACUUAAUUAACUGUAGUAAGAGGGAGUCUUUGUGUCUGUGACUGAGACUCAUGCACCCCAGAAAAAUGCUUUACAUCUCCAUUAGACUGCUUAAUAGAAGGUUUUUCCUCCCAGAAUGACUUCAAUAGCUCUUCAAAUGCAGGAGUCUUCAGCUCCUCAAUUGACUGCACACUAGGCAAAUUAAUUGCUCGCCUUCGUGGCGUUGUACAUGAUAUUUCAUCCACCUGGAGACAAUAAAAACACAAUUAGGACCAACGAAAUGUAAUACAUAACUUAAGAUCACAUAAUUUACCAACUUUAGUUACGUUACCGAUAUGCAAACUCACCAUAUAGUCCUUAACUAGAGACCUCUCUGCAGUUUCUGAGAUAUCAGCAAUCUUGUGACUGUGUCCAUUCUGCAUUUCUGUAAGCUCCCCAUGAUGGGAAGCAUUCAUAGAUUUGACCUUCUCAUGCAUAUCAUUGUCCAAUUUCAACGUAUCUAACAUGGAAUUAUAUAUGCAGUUAGCAGAGGAAUAAAAAACAGAUAAAGAAAUGAAAGGGGUGACGAAAAAAAAAAAAUCUCACUUUCAAUCGAGGAAAGAAGGCUCUUAUUUACAACAUCAACAUCUUCCAAAGUGUUAGAAGCGGCAGAUGAAAAUCUAGCACGCAGUUGCUUGUUUGCAUCAAUUCCACCCCUUGAUAUGAAAUGAUAUAUCAUGAGUUUCAACAAGUCAAAUUAUUUGAAUGCUAAAGAGCCAAGUAUCAUAAAGUCAAGGAUUGUUUCUUUCCAAUAAAUUACCUUAUAAUGGAAUCUGUUGAAGCUACAUUACUUCUUCCUAUACUGAGAAGAGAGUUCUGAGCAUUACUCCAUUGUUUCGAGCACGAUUUUGCCAUUAUCAUGCUGCAAAGUAGGAUAUAAAACAUUUUAGAUGUAAACUAUUAGGAUAUACAGGGUCACACAAUGGAAGUUAUCCUGUGUUCUUACCAUUGUUGAAGGCCGUCUGCUAAGCCACAUCUUCCACUUUCUAUCACAACAGUAUCAUUAUGGUAGUUUUUUUCUGUUUUCUCCACAUAAGCCAUCCACUGUUCUCUAACAGAAGAAGUGAAGUUAUGGGAUGUCUCCAUUUCGCUCUGUAGAUUACUGCUACGGUCCGAAGCAGUCUCCCUGAGACUGCUGAUAGCUGAUUGAACCUAUAAAGAAGGCAAAGUAUUUAUGAAAUUGUAAAGAAUAAUGAACAAUAACCAAACGUGCAUUCCCUAAUUUUUUUUUAAAAAAAAAACAUGAGAUAAGAUCGACAACAUAGACAUUUAGAAUCAUGGAAAAUUGUGUUAUAUAUACCAGAUUAUUCUUCCUAGCAUUUGAACUUGCCAGCAACUCUGCCAUCUUUUCUAACAAGUAGCUUUCUUCUUUAGCAGCACAUUCCUGCAGCCACACCAUGAAAUUAGAAGGAAAAUUGGCGAAGUUAUGCAUAACCUAUAUUCCCCCAAAAAAAACCUGAUGGUAGAUCAUAACAAUAACAGUACCUCAAACUUCUUUUCAAGCUGUGAAAGUUGCUCAUCAUGUACAUUGUUUGAUUCUUCCAUGAUAUUGCUCAAUUUAGAAGAAUGAGCAUCUAAUGUGUCGAAGAAAUUCAUCGUAACUGCCGAUAUAGACCUUGUUGUCUCUACAGUUCUAAGAAGUCCCUGAUUUACAUGACUUGGUUAGAAGAUCUUAAAACUCAGGUAAACUUGUUUUGGAAAAGAAAAUGCUAAAAAUUGCAACUAUUUUGUCCACCUCACGCUGCAGAUGAAUGAAUGAAUCUAAUUGAUCCUCUUGGUUAGAAAGCCUGCUCUGAAGUUCAUUAACAAUCCGAUCAGCUUCCAGCAAAAGGCCCUUCAAACACUGCACAAGACGAGAUUCGUUUAAGAUGGGUAAUCAAAGAAGAAACAAUAUAAAGAAAAAAAGUAGUUCUUACAUCCUCAAGAGCAGAAGUGUGCAUGUUGACUUGUGAGUUCAAUUUCCCAAAAGUUAAGCAAGCAUUUUCAUCAAGUUCACCAGCUAAACCAUCCAAUUCUCCAAUCUUAGAACCACAAAUCUCCUUAAGUUUUCCUAUCUGCCCUCGGAGUUCUUCAGUAACCUAACAAAAGGCCAAUUUAUAUUAAUUGAUUAAUCUCUUCUAGUUCAGCAAAAGAAAAAGGAAAAACAUAGCCUGUGGCUAACUCUCAGUGUACCUGGCCUUUCAUGGAGGCACAGGAUUGCAUUUCUUCUUCUAGUUGUUUUAUUUGGUUUUCCUGCUGAGAAACAGAAGCUGAGACAGUCUUGCCUAACAAAUCCAGCUCCUGAGCUAAUUGAGAGUGGAAUCUUUGGACAAGAUUUCUGUUUGCAUCUUCCACCUUAUCUUUUCGUUCUGAAAACCAAUACAAGGUUUAUUCAGUAGGUAACAAGCUGUUUGAUAACAUGCAGGAGAAAUUGCAGUUUUCCCAAAUGUGAAAGAUGCUAACCUAUCUUAGAAAACAAGCCAGAUACAUCCACUGCUGCAUUCUCCAGCUCAGAUCGAAGCUCACAAGCUCGACCAACAAGGGCUUUCUCUGAACAAUGGAAAACAAGAGUCAUAGGAGUGUGAUAAUUAGAACACUUGAAGAAAGAUUUUGGUCGAAGUGCAUGGUCCUUCUCUUACCAGAUUUAAGGAGAUUAAGUAUCAAGUAUUCCUUUUCCUUAAUUGUGGAAUUUGCCUGCCUAUACUUCUGUUCCAGAUCUGAUAAUGUGUGUUCAGUGUCUUCCAGUGUUUUCUAAAGAAAAACACACAAAACAGAAUUAAUCGCUUUCUGACAAAAAUUCAAUAUUUGAACGCCAACUCAACAAGAGGAAUUAUUUUACCUGGGACUUUUGAAGUUUGUCGCUUAAUUCUGCGCUCAAUGCUUUUUGAGAAUUAAAAAGCUCUUGAAGUCCAACCAAUUGCUGUAACAAAUAUGUCUCGUACAUUUAAUCCUCGUCAGGAAUAAGCUGCAUACGCUCAAUUGACUGGAAAGAAAAACAUACCUUAUCCUUAGUUUCCAAAUCAAGUUCUACGCGGUCCAGUUUCUCACUCAUGGCCUGAAAAGUUUAAACUUAUCAUUAAAAGAACUUUGGUGUUUGUGCUGGUGUGUUUGGGGGGAUUGGUGUAUACUAACUUUCUUCUCAGCUUCUUCUUGCAAAAAUCGAUCCCGUGGAAUGUAUACACCAUUCUUCUCUCUUGCAGCAUAUACUUCUGUUAAGAGAUGAGAAUAAUCUAGUCAACUGACAAGAAUGAAAUUCAGAAGCAAAUGGUCUGAAACAUAAGACAUAAUAUCGAGGUAUAUGUAUAUCCAAUAAAGCAAAAAAAGACCUUGUUUAAGGCGGUCAAUUUCCGAGUACAAAUCUUUGAUAAGCGCAGAUUUCAUCAUCUUCUGAUUAACCUGAAAAUUAUAAGACAGAAGCAGGGCCAAUUCAAUUAUCAGACAUACUUCGACUCAACUAAUUACUAAUCAAGAAAGAAAAGAGAAGAGGGGAAUAACCUCUGGUUUGUUCUUGAUAUUCUUAGCACGAUGUGCAUAAUCUAGUGUACUCAGUGUCUCUUCCAUGCAUUGAAUGGAAGGCGAUAUGGUGGCUAUAAUGCAAGUCUUUGUCCUCCCUCCCAACGAAUCUCUUAGUAGUCUUGUCAAUUUGCUAUCCCUAAACAACCAGUAAGUCGUUUCCUCAGUCUAGAUGAAUUCAGCAAAUUACUAAAACAUGUACAGAAGAGCUAAAGUAUGAGAAUCACCUGUAAGGAAUGUGACCAGAGUGUUCAACAAGAGUAUUAAUGACACGACCGAGUGUAAGCAAACUUUUAUUAAUCUCUCCAGCUUCACGUGCUCGUCCCUGAAAUAAUAAUUACUUCUAUAACCAGAUCAACAAAAUUAUCAAUAACAAGUGAAACAUCUAAUAUCCAUUAUCCACCCACCUCUCUUGCACCGGACCGUGAAAUGUUCUCCGAACCAGCAAGGUCAACAAGAUUAAGCUUCCCGCAUUUGAUCAUCUCCUCACCCUCGGGAGUGCACUCCUUAAUGUGAAUAGUAAUUGAAAAUAUCGAGUGAGAUCGGCUGCUCUGCUUGUUAAGUAGGGUUUCAGCAGUACGCCGCUUCGAAGACCCUUUAUCCAAUAUCUUAUAUAUCUCACCAGCAGAAGAAACUAUCUCCUCCUCCAAACCCCUAACAAAAACUCCCCCCUUUCCAUCCUCCAUGAGAGCUAUCGGCUUCUUAGACUUGUCAUCUGAGAAUUUCGACUCUUCAGGAGCCAAGAGAUCCGUGAUCUCCUCGUUGUACAGUUCGAGAAAUGUGACCUUCAUGCUGUACUCCGCGCUCUGUGCCUCAAGUAUAUCAAAGAUUUGUCGAACAGCCCUUGGUAUUACACCGGCAUCACUUGGCAAUUCUCCAUUCUGCAAUAUGGUUGAAAAAUCGUGUCCAGGUUUAGUAGCAAGGAUAACUCAGAACACAAAGACUUAGCGGGUAAGAGGUAAGCAGAAGUUGGACAAUAUUAUCUAGAGCUCUUGCUAAGCUGAACUAAGCUUUUGAACCCUAAAAGGAGAAGCUCCAUUUUGAAACCCCUUCAGAGCAAAAAGCUAUUGUACAGACGAAAAGAACAAGCCUUUUAAGCCUCUUCGAGCAUUCCUAUUGAGACUACUACUCCUCGUGUGCAAGUUUAGUAGCAAGGAGAACUCAGAACACAAGACUUAGUGAGUAAAAGAUAAGCGGAAGUCGGAUAAUAUUAUCUAGAGCUCUUGAUAGAGCGGGAAGCUGAACUAAGCUUCCGAACUCUAAAAGCAGAAGCUCCAUUUUGAAACUCCUUCAAAGCGAAAAGCUAUUAUACAGACGAAAAUAAAAAGCCUUUUAAUCCUCUUCGAGCAUCUCUAUUCAGAUUAUACCUCCUCAGUUGGGUUGAAAAAACCCUAACUACAUACUAAGUACAAACUUAAAAUACCUUCAUUUUUGUCCCUCCUCCUUCCAUUGUGUAUGUUUUUCCCGUACCCGUUUGCCCAUAGGCAAAAAUGGUGCAAUUGUAUCCCUCGAGAACCUCAUUUACAAGUGGAACAACAGCAUGAUAGAAUAAGUCCUUUUGUUGGGAUGAUGGGCCGAAAACCUACAGUAAGUAAUUCACAAUCACCGAACCUAAACAAGCUUGUUUUCCAGAUUCAAUAGGGAACAUAAUCCACCAAAAACAUUAGAAAAGAAAAAACUUUAUCACACCUUAUCGAACACAAAUGUUCUAUCAAUCUGCUUGUUGGCAAUACUCAGAGUGGCCAAUACUUCUCUUCUGAGCUCAUUGCAAGAUAUCACCACUGGGAUAUUCGACCGAACCUCCUCCUCAUUUAAAGGCCUAAAAACACACAAAUUAAAGAAUCAAACAGAAAUUUUCCAAACAUUAUUGUGAAACAUCACAUUUCAAUCGAAUCAAACACUACACCUGCAUCGAAGAAGGACUUGGACAUUAACCCCUUUCUCCUUAUCAUGCUUGCUAUUGGAAUUCCCAUUGCUUUCGUGAGAACGAGUGUCCCUUACCAUCUUAUCGCUGGAUCGCGGGGUAUGCGAUGGAGAAAUCGAGACAUAGCUUCCCCCUUUCCUAUGUGAACUCUCCAUUACCGAAUCCCCCAAAUUCGAACACGAAAAGAGACGUGAGAAUCCGGGUCCUACCUGCAAAAUAGUACCCAAAAUUAGUAAAAUUAAUCAAAUGAAACAUGACAAGAUAAAGUUUUGAACAAGGCAAAAACACCAACGCGAUUGAUUCUAUUGGGAGGCAUCUCGUUCGAACCAAAGAUGAUGAAAACGAGCAAAACUUCGAAGCGGGCGCGAAGUUUAGCAAAAAUAUCACCAAAAUGCGAGCCAUUUUAGGUAUAAUUCUCCGAUUUUCGAAAUGAAGACGAGAAUUAAGGGCGAGAUUAAUGCGGAAAGAGGCGGAGAAUCGCGUAACGUACCCACAAAUGGACUGCUUCCGAUAGGGAAUCGGGAUCGAGCCUAAUCCUGGAGAAGGAAUCGAGCGACGGAGGGGAGGAGCUGGGACGGAGCUCGCGAUGGGAUUCGCCUUGAUUACGUUGUUCGAUCGAAGGGUUUCCGAAACCCUAAUAAAUGGGGAUUCUGUGUAUUGAUGAGAGAUAGAGAGAGAGAGAGGGAGACAUGUAUUUAAGAGAGAGAGAGACGAGGGGGGGUUCAAAGCAUUUCUCUUCUUUAAAAAUGGCGACCGUUCGAAGAGGAGCGACACAGGAGAGAGAGAGAGAGAGAGAGAGAGAGAGAGAGAGGAAGAGAGCCGUUAGGGUGGAAUCCGACCGUUAGGGCGAUGGGAAAAGGACAUUUUUUUAUAUAUUUUUUAAAAAAUUUUGAUUUGGAGAUUUGUAAUUUGGUUUGAAAAUUCGGAAAGUGGAACCGGGAAACGAGGUGUGUAACAGUAAAUUUUUUUUAAGAAAAUAAUAACACGCUACCAGUUUCAUUUAUUUUUUUUAUAAAUAAAUUUAGCUAAAAUUAUAAAGUAAUUAGACUUCAAAUUUUCUCCACCACUUACGCUAAGGACAGUCACUUAUUGCAGUGAUUACUAUAAGCUCAUUUACAUGGGUUCAAUGUGGUUAAAAAAAAAUUCAACUUGAGUUUGAGUUUGCUUAAUUUAAUGUUUCAAUUUUUACCGCAUCAAAAAGUUAAAAUGAGAUUUUUAGUCCAAUUUGGAUACUAAAUCUGCUUUUUUUUAGUCGCUCAACUACGCGGAUUCCGUAGAAACUCAUGUCAUACUAAAGAGAUUGUUCAAUUGAACUUGCUUAAAUUAAUUUUCUAUACUAGAACUUUUGAUUUUAAAAGAGCUGAGCUGACAUUUGCUAAUUUUUUUGUAAAAUGUUAAUAAAAUUUAAUAUCUGUUUAAAUUUUGGUUGAGUAUUAAACUUAUUCUAACGAUGCAUAAAAAACUACCCAAAUAUUUAUUAUAGAUUAUAGAUUAUAAAUUAUAAAUAAAAAAAAAAAAAUUUGUUUGAGAAAGAGGUAGCAAGCUAUUUGCUUCAUUCAUUAAGGAAAAUGAACUUAGCGUACAAAUGAAGGCAGCUAGGGCCUCCUAAAGGAUUGGGAAACAGAGUAAAAAAACGAACAAAAGAAAAUAAAAAACGUCCCCCACGAACCGUUACCAAAAAACAAAUGAGGCGAGGUAGAAAGUAACAAAAACUCGAGGAAAGAUCGACAAGGAAUGCACGGUCACGGGUCAAGAGCUUCUGUCCAAUCUUUCCUUAACGAAACCACUCGUUCAGUAGCUCGAUCGGCGUUCGGAAUCGUAUCACGGAAAAUGUUGUUGUUGCAUUCCGUCCAGACGACCCACCAGAUCGCCGCCAAACCUGUGAGCCCUUUCGUUCUCGGCCGGACAUUGGGGGAAUUCGCUGUCUCCGACCAUAGUCUCCUAACAUCACCUGUGUCACGUUCCCUUAUAACCGAGCUUCCCACUUUAAGAAGAAGGUAUCUAACGAAGACACACUCCCGGAAAAGAUGAUCACAGUCCUCCAAUUCGACCGCACAAAAAAUGCAAUUCGGAUUAACCGGGCACCCUCGCCGAAUCAAUCUAUCAGCUGUUAGUAAUCUCUUACGAAGUAGAAUCCAAAUGAAGACUUUAAUUUUGGCGGGAAUCUUUAAAUUCCAAAUGUGAUCGCAAGUUGGGUUUCGCUGGCCUGCGUCGGUAAUAAAUUCGUAGAUAGAUUUAACAGUAAAUAUCCGGUUGGUGGUCCAACGCCACUCUAUACUGUCCGUAAUAUCCGAAGGAGAAUAGUUGGACAGUAGAUUUUUUAGCAAGACGAACUGAUGACGUGUAACACUGUCUGUGGAUGUUACGAGACCCCUGCUAAUGAAACGCCAUCUCCACCCUUUAUCAUUCCAACAUUGUGCUACCGUUACCUCGUUGUUCACGAUUCGGGGGUAUAUUUCUGACCCCUGCUAAAUGAAAAAAAAAGUUGAUUCUCUGUAAAGUAAAUUUUAACUUUUUUACUCUUCCAAUGUGGCUUCUUAUAAAUGGGCCAAAUUUCAUGUGGGUGAGGCCCAAGAAAACAAUUUUCUCGGCUAUUCAAUCCGGCACCGUUCAUCAAACUAGAACAUUUAAUCUCAACUGUCCAAACAUUGGACGGCGGAUGCUUAUCCCUGGAUAAUCGAACGGCAGAUAGAACGUCCGUACGCCUCCGCACAAUUCCUCAUUCCGGAACCAAUAAAAACCCUUAUUCCGCCCCUAAUUCUCCCAGGUGAGUGUCCGCACCCUACUCGAUCGAUCGCUUCCCCUUGUGAUUCGGGAUCGUUAUCAUUCUAAAAUCCCCAAUUUUUCAAAUUUUGAGCCUAAUGAUCCUGCAAUUUGGAGAAAUCGAAGAGUUUGCACAUCGCGAUCGUGUAUUAUGGUAGUGUUUUUUUUUUUUUUGUAUUAAGUACUUGAAUUUUGGUUCUCUAAUCCUUUUGCUUUGUUUUUAACUAAAUUACUUGUUUGUGCAAGCAUUAUUGUCACAUUUUUGUCUCCGAGAUCAAUAGUGCGAGUUUGUACCUUUUAUUUUUCUACGUAAUCCACUAUGAUAAGCGAGAAAAGAGUUGAUUUUAAUGAGUUUGGUUUUAGAUUAUAGGAAUAACUGUUAAUGUUUAGAAAAGCUAGGAAAUUUAACUUUAGGUUUUUCUUUUUUUGGAAGUAGUUGGCAUAAUCAGAGAAAAUAGUGUACAAGGGAUCAUUUUGGUUUAGGAACAAAUUAUGCGUGGAUGAGCAUUUUCUAUAUCCGUAGGUUUUUCCUGUGAGAUUUUCAUUUGAGAACAAAGCCAAUUUUGCAUUUUGACUUUAGUUUAUAGUCGUAUAUAGAAAUAAAACAAUAAAGUAGUCCUUCAAUGUGGCCCCUAAUACCACUUAUCAGAUAGUUGGCGUCGUUAACCAUUAAUUUCAAAAGCUCGAGCUAUUAGAAAGACGCAACCAAUUCACUUCAACUAUACAGACAUAACGUCCACGAGUCUCAAUUGUGAUUCAGCCCAAUCCGACCUCCCCCAUAUAGCCCGCAGGCUUUCUAUUGUGACUCGAUCCAAUCUGGCCUCCGCCUUAGCUUUAGAUGCUUGCCUUUUAAGCCAAAUAGGUCAUUUUAGAUAAUUUCUUGGCCUUUUUUUUUCCUUUAUUGCUUUGUUUGGGGAAUAAAGGUUGUAAUUUGUGUCAUCUCGUAACAAGUAAUAUGUAGUGAUUUGCAUAAUUAUCUAGUAACCUAUAUUCUUUCAGGUUUGUGCACUUUCCUCGUCCUAUGUCUAAGAGUAUAAAGGUGUGAAAUUUUGCGGGGAUUAGCUUGCUAAUGGAUAGCUCAAGUAAUGCACAAGUUUUUGCUCCAUCUGCCUAUCAAUCGACGCGCUGUUUCCAAAUGCUAUUAUGCAACCAAUCAAGUCGUAUCCAAAUUCACCACAUUCCCGUCGCUCCGAAGAUCCAGAAAGCUAGAAGGCAGUGGUGUAGACACCGCACUAAGAAUCCUCGAUCUCCUGAUCCCCCAAAAAGUACUCCAAAAGGUCAAGGAUGAAGUACAAGAGUCGUGCCAUCAUCGCCUCAUUAAAGCUUGCAUGCAGGAUAUCUUGGAGACUCAAUCAAGGCAUUCGAAGAUCAACAAACAGACGACACCUAGUAAAUCUGCUAGGCAAACCACGCGCCUCACGCCCACAAAGGUUCAUUCAAGUUCAGCGAAGGAGGAUGCUUUCUUUCUGUUUCUUGAACUGCACGAGAGAGGAAUCAGCGUUGAUCUAUCUAUUUUAUGUUCAGUUAUGAGUACUUGUGCAGACACAGCGGCUAUUAACACAGGCGUGCAACUUCAUACUCUCCUGGUGAAAAUUGGCUGCGACUUGUCGAUUCCUAUAGGAAGCUCAUUAAUUAGCUUAUAUGCCAAGUGCGGUAAGUUAGACGAAGCUUACCAAGUUUUUCAAAUGCUACCCACAAGGAAUACAAUAUCAUGGACUGCGAUAAUUGCAGGUUUUGCCCAAAACGGUCGGGUCGAAACAUGCCUGUAUCUGUUUGUGCUAAUGAGGCGGUCGAUGACAAAGCCAAAUGACUUCACUUUCGCGAGCCUUUUGGCUGUUUGCACCAGCAGCGCUUGUCUUGGGAUUGGGAGAAGCUUUCACGGUCUAGAAAUAAAAAUGGGUUUUGAUAUGUAUGUGCAUAUUUCAAAUGCGCUAAUCUCAAUGUAUGCGAAAUGUGGGAGUAUUGCUGAUGCUCAAUAUGUGUUUGACGAAAUUUCGCAGAGAGACUUAAUCUCAUGGAACUCGAUGAUAUUCGGAUACUCUCAGUAUGGUCUUGCGGAACAAGCUUUAAACCUGCUGAAUGAAAUGAUCAAGGAGGACGUAAAACCCGACGCCAUUUCCUUUCUAGGCGUGCUUUCGUCAUGCCGUCACGUUGGUUUGGUCGAAGAAGGACGGCGAUGCUUCAGUUUGAUGCUUGAUUGCGAUGUAAAACCGGAUUUAGACCACUACUCGUGUAUCAUCGAUCUCCUCGGUCGUGCUGGGUUGCUUAACGAGGCAUUGGAUUUAAUUGCAAGAAUGCCCAUCCCUCCGAAUGCUGUCAUAUGGGGCUCGCUGCUGUCGUCUGCGAGGGUUCACGGAAAUGUUUGGGUUGGUAUCCGUGCUGCGGAGAGUAGGCUUUUCUUAGAACCAGGUUGUGCGGCGACUUACGUGCAAUUGGCUAAUUUGUAUGCUAGCACGGGGUCCUGGGAUCAGGUCGCGAAUGUGAGGAAGUUGAUGAAGGAGAGAGGGCUGAAGACGAGCCCGGGGUAUAGCUGGAUUGAAGUUGGUAACAAAGUUUACAUCUUCAAAGCGGAAGAUCGAUCAAAUAAGCAAGCGAACGAAAUCCUCGCCGUUUUGGGUUGCCUCCAGUGUCAGAUGGAUUGUCCGAGAGAUUUGUCUAUAUUUGAACAACUUCAAAUUACAGGAUAAUCAAUAGUAGAUAUCAAUGUGGCUUAAUCUCAUGAUCUAAGGAGUAAAACAAUCAAGCUCUGCACACAUUUGUCAUUAUCUUUGUUUCGUGUGUCAAAAAUUUUGCAUAUAACUGAGAAGAAAAUUCGAUUCAUUUUCAUUUUCUUCUAAGUUUAACUACACUCUUUUGUUUGGACCAUUGGAUCUAUAACUCUUCUUCUUCUUCUUUUGAAGCUUUUUCCAAUAAGGAUCAUCACUGUAUCCUAUCAAUUAUCUGCAAAACAGUAAUCACAAUAGCAGCAUAACUAGGCCUAUUACCCACUUCAAGUUAUAAUUCGACCAUUUUUCCAAUCCAAUAAUCUUUUUCUCUCUACAAAUUUUAGCACCUUUUUUCAAAUUUUUAACUAACAGUUUUAAAAAAUUAGUAAAUCUCACAACCUCAGAGGAGGGUUGUAAAAAUUACAAAUUUCUUUACUGUAGACUUAAAAUUACUGAGUCAUAAGAACAGGUACUACUGUUCACUCAGAAAAACUCCAACUAAAUAAAAUAAUAACUGCACAUCUCAAUAUCACUAUUGGGGUACGUAUAGAUAUAUCCAUUACACUUAAAACAAUUUUAUGGAUGCUCACAUAUUUCUCACUUUUCAAUUUUUUUACUCCCAAACAAUUCUUAAAUAUUAAUGGUAUUUACUCUCUCACCUGGGCACAUAUCAUCUGUACCGAAUUUUUCUCUUUUUUUGAUUGAAUCAAACUGGAUCAUACCUCUGUAUUGGGCCGAACUGUUCCUCUUCCACUUUUUCUGGCUCUUACCUUUCUUUGUCGGCAAGGUGAAUUCUGCCCCUUAUCGUCAUUUCUUUUAUCACAGUUUUCUCUUCCUUUGUUGUUAUUUUUUAUUUUUUUCUCUAAUUACCUCCCCGUCUUAUCGCACGAAUUACUAUACCAGUCAUCAUUAUUAAUUAUGAUAUACAAUAGAGGUAGAAUACUAUCAGGAAUAGAUAAAUAGCGUUUACUAUCACUUUUUUUAUCUCUUUACUAUAUGAUACUUAUACUAAUAUAUAUGCGUAAAGGACAAAAUAAAUAAUAAUAAGCACUAUUCCUCUACCACUGAUAGUAAUUUAACUAAACUUAUAUAUAACCAUUACACCGAGGACCGUCUCAUCAAUGUCAUAGGCGCCACGAGGAGUGUUCCCCAUCGUGGCGUGGCACUGUUUCCGAUCCGAACCAAACCAAAUCAAACCAAAUUGAACCGAAUCGAGCCAAACCGAGCCCACUCCGCCAACUUGGCGCAAUGCUGGUGGUGGGUUCACUGUCACGGUCCGCGAGAACAACCCCAGAUGCGUUAUCGCCAUUGGGGAUUGGUCCAAAAAUAAAAUAAAAAAUAAUUUUUUUUUUAUUUUAUAUUUAAUCGUUAUUUUAUUUAGACAAAACAAUGAAACUAACGAAUACACCAAAAAAGCUAACCAAAUAGGCCGAUUUGGGUGCGGACACUUUCGUGGGCCCCACACUCUGACCCGAUAAGGCACGGCCCAAAACAAAGUUCACGUGGCCCCCGGGCCCACUCUUCGAUUCUUACAAUUUUUGUAAAAACAAAUUAUUUCCAAGUGAAAAUUAUUUAUCCACAUUUUUAUUUUCGUAAAUUGUUUUAAUAGAAUACUAAUUACCCAAUAACUGAAGUUCCAACACUAAUAUCUAAUAAAAAUUAACUUCAUUUGAAAGGAUAUGAUGUGAUUCCUCUUAAUACAAAUGAUUUAUUCUGUAUCAGAAUAAUUUUAUUUAUUUUAUGAUUAAUAUAUUAAAUCUGAUCAAAUUUAUCAUGCGAUAUAAGAAAUAAAAGAAUUUUAUACGAAAAAAAUGAAGAUAUUUUUAGAACAUUUGUGGCUCACAAUACUUUGUCGUUAGGCCUCAAUUACCCCCACCACCCAGUUUCUUGAACAUUAAUACAAAAAGUGGCAUUCAAAAGCUAUUUUAUUCAUCAAGCUCCUCCCAUAUUUUAAUUUUAAUAUAAUAAUAAUUCCAAACCUCCAUGAGUACAGCUCAAAUUAUCCAUCCAUGAAUUGGUCAAAUUUGUUUGUUACCUAGAUUUGAGUUAUCCUAUCACAUCACAUACUAGAUAUGUAGCUUAGUUAAAGACCAUGAUGCAAAAUGAACAAAAAUAAAUUGCUUUAAUCACCAAUAAAAAAUUGCUUUAAUCACACUUUACUCAUUUAUUUAUGGGAUACUUAUAUAAUUAAAGAAGCAUUUAUAGUUCCGAUAGUGUGGAGAGGAUUACAACCACAUACUCUCAAUAAUAGAAAACAAAUUAACAAAUUUCUAGAUUGUGGUUGGUGCCGUUGGGUUGUCCUCUUGAUUCCGAUUUUAUUUUGAUUUCGUAGAUUUUGAUGUUUCAAUAAUCACUAGGAGGAUUGUUAUGCUUUUCCGCUCGCUAAGACUUAAGCAAAAGACCAUCUGUUCUAAGAAUGUAAUUGGUUGCGCCGGUUGAUGUAUUUUCAUUCGCUGUACUACCGAACUAGGCAACUAGGAUUUGCGAGAAAAGUGGAGGUGAGCACACCAUGCGUGAGUGGACUUGCAUCUGCACUGAUACCUACACUUGAAAAAAUUUACUGUAUCCCACUUACACACUAUGAUCAAUAAGAAGCCAAUCAUAUCUUUUUUUUUUCAAAAAAGGUACAACAAAAAUAAUCUUUUAUAAUUAUAAUAUGACGAAUAAAUUUUAAAAAAAUUAUUUAAUUUAUUGAGCGCGUCACAUAAUCAAUAUAUAUAUAUAUACCAUGUGCAUUCUAGAAUUCUUCCCUAAACUUUCCAUGCAUACGGGCGGAAGCAGCCACCAAAUAAUUCGGCUGGCUGGUCCCACUAGCACAAGGCAACUCGGCCCACCGUGUCGCCCCAGAAACUAACCAUUUUUAAUCAUCUCUCACCUCUCUCUCUCUCAUACCUCACGGAAACUAUUCAAUCCACCCUGUGCAUCACUACAUCUCGUGCACUACAUUCAACCACCAAUCACGCACGAGGGGCUUGUUUACCUCUCUUGCGAUAGUAUUGUUCGAUAAAGUGCUAUUUAAAUCGUUCUUUAUUUGAUAAUUUUUAUUUGCGAUAAUAGUAUAAAAUAAUGCUGGCGAUUUUGAUGUUGACAACUAAAUUUAAUAUUAAAUGCAGACACUAUUGAUAGACUAAACUUUAAUUGUGUUCAAUAAAUUUUUUUAGCCGUAAUAAAUGGGAAGAUAUUAAUCUCACCACCAAAAUCAAAAGCUGCAAUCUAGACCUUUCCAUUGUAAUUGCAACAAAACCUUUAUAUUUAGCUGCUUUGCAUACGUUUUUUCAAAAUUACUGUAACUAAAUAAAUGUAUGAUCCGGAGGUACAAUAAAUAUUUGUUGAUCCAUAAUAACCUAGUCUACCGGCGUUAUCUGAAAUUUACAGUAUUUUUAUUAAGUUCCAACCUAGACACAAAUACACAAGCUAUUAUAAUUUAAGAGGUUGCAUACUUCUUCAAUAGCAAUUCUUACUUUAAUUUUAUAGCAGCAUACGGUCGUAAAAAAAAAAAAAAAAAAAAAAAAAAAAAAAAAAAAAAAAAAAAUUUUGAAUUUUUUGGGACCGUCUAAAAUAUGAACGCGGUAAAGCGACGGCCCAGAUCUGUUAUGCACCGGGUGCCCAGGUCUGUUAUGCACCGGGUGCACCCAGUAAAUUUUCCGCUUCCUCCCUCCCACCGAUUCCAUCGAGCCCACCUCCAGAUUCGAGCCAAUCCGAAAACAAACAGAAUAAAUAAAAUAAAAAAAUAGAGGGGCGCGCGCGCGCGCGCGCGCGCACACACACGCGCCCCGCACGGAGUCCGAGAGCGCGGGCGCCAUAUCGGCGACGGUGCGAUGUCCCCCGCUCGCACGUGCGCUGCCACGUGAUCGUCUCCCUCCCCCGUCCCUCUCUCCCCCCCCCCUUCUAUCCCCUCUCCUUGUCCACACAAAAAAGGCGCCUCGAUCCCCGAUCCACUCACUCCCAUUCUCCAUUUAAAUCCUUCUCAUUCCCUCGGGAUCCCCAAUCUCUACUCGCUUAAUUCGACAGGAUCAUAGCGUACGAUCAGAGGUACGUACGCACUACGUACUCGAUCCUUCCUUAAUUUCGUCCCCAGUUCAAAUUUGAACUCGAUCGUGAUUUCCUUAAUCUCUUAUUAGUUAGAUCAAGCGAUUUCCGCGAAUCCAUCGAUCGUUGUUUCUUUCUCUUUAUCUGUGUUUUUGGUUAUGGAUCAGAUGAAAUCGUACUCGAUCGGAAUUAAGCUUCGUGGUUUUGAAUUUGGAUUUGUGGAAACCCUUUUUUGUAGCGCUACUUGUUUGAAUGUGUUUUUUUUUUUUUUUUUUUUUUUUGAGAGAGAUAGGUAGCACGCUACCCGUUCGUUUAUUUCAUUUAGAAAUAAACUUAGCUAGAAAUGUGAAUCAACUAGAAUUCGAACUUGGGUCUCGGGUACCAACCAUCAAGCCCUUUGCCACUUGCUCUAGGGAUUUGAAUGUGUUAAAUAUCUCAUAUCGGUGAAUAUCUCAUAUCGGUGUUUGAAUGUGUUAAAGAGGGUUUUCUUUUUCUAUGUCGAACACUUUUUGAUGUGCUUGCCAGUGUAGCUUAAUCAAAUUUAAUUUGGAUCCAGAAGAGUAGAUUUAGCCACACAAUUAAAACACACUCCAUGAAUUACUUUAACGAGAACUAUCCACUUCUCCCGAGGAAAAAUGUGUCCUAGCGCAAAUGACAAAGGAUUUGAUGAUUGGUAUCUGAGGUCCCAAAUUUGAAUUCUAAUUGAUUUAUAUUUUCUAAAAAAAAUAAAUAUAGUGUAUAGCAUACUAUCUUUCUUAAAAAAAAGAAAAAAAGAAAAAAAAAAGUGUUAUUGUUUGUAGCUGACACAUUUGUGUAUACUCACAAUAUUUUUAUCAAUCACUUUAAGUUGGUAAAAACAUACGAAACCUGCGUUAAGGUAUCAAUUAUUUUGAUCAGAGUAUUCGAUAUUUUGAAAUUUUAAUCCCACCAAUCAAAUUUUCAAUUUAUUUGACUUGAGUCAAUCGGUAUUUUGACUUCAUAAUUUAGACUGCUAACUCUCGACUUCAAAGUUUAGGCUACUUAUUUAUUUUAAUAAAUUUAUAAUUGCGAGAGUCGCCUGAAUUAUACUAACUAAAAAUAUAGAGACAUAUGAUGAAUUUGAAUUUUAAAAUCAAAAUGUCGUUGGCUGAUUUAAAUAAAAAAAAAUAAAAAAUUGUGUAAUCAAAUUAAAAUUUUAAAAGAUUAGAUAGGUAACUCAAAAUGGAGCCAUAGUUCUCACUAAAAAGUAUAAGAUAACAUAGUAAAUAUUGGUUUGGGCCAUUUUGAAAUAGUAUUUUAUUUAUAUUUUUUUAUUUGAUAUGUAUUGAAUUAUAAAUUUAGUUAGUUAUUUGGGUAAACUUCAAAUAUCACUUAUGUGGUUUCGCACUUUCUCACUUUAGUACUCUAUAAUUUAAAGUGUAUCAAGUUAGUGUCCUGUGGUUUCAUUUUUAUCUUUUCGUCAGCUUUUUCGUUAAUAUUUUGUUAAAUUAUAUACAAAAAAAUUUCAGAUACCCCACCUAAGUUUAUUAAAUAUUUACUUUAGUACCCUUUAAUUUUAACUCUGUCACUGAUUUAACAAAAAAAUUAACAGAAUCGAUAAUAAAAAAAUAAAAAAUGAAACCACAAAGCACUAAAUUUAUACACUUUAAACUAUAUGGUGCUAGAGAGAGUGUGAAAUUAUACAGGUGAUAUUUGAAGUUUUUUUUAGUUAUUUUAUCAAAUUUUGCAGUUCUCGUAUUUUUCCAACCGUUAAAAAGUGUAGAUUUUAUUAAUUAACUGAAAUAGUAAAGAGAAAUAAAGUUUAAGGCGCUAAAUUCAAAAUGACCCUCACGUUGAGAGGAUACAUAUAUUAUUAACUAUUAAAUAUAUAUAUAUAUAUAUAUAUAUAUAUAUAUAUAUAUAUAUAUAUAUAUAUAUAUGUGCUCAUAAGAUAAUCCAAAGAAUCCGGAAACUCGUGACAUAUGAUAAGAUGUUUCAAAUUUUCAAAAAAUUCAACAAAUAUUACUUUAAUUUAUUUAAAAAUUGUAUAGUAUUUCGUAGACUAAAAAUAUAAUUAGAUAUAUUUAAAAGAUAACUACUUUAUACAUGAAAUAUACUAUUAGUAUAAUAAGCGAUAAUUUUAGAAUCACGUGGGGAGCUAUAAUUAAAUUCUUAAGCAACAAUCAUUUAAAAAAUUUAAAUUCUCUCAACAAAAAAAUAUUUUUAUUUUAUUAGAGAAAGAUAACAAGCUAUUCUCUUUUUUUUUAUUUAAAAAUAAAUUCAACUAAAAACUGUGAAGCAAUUUAGCUGUAAAUUUGAAAUUUUGAAUUCUAAUCAUUAAAUUUUUAUUCAACUGUCAUCAUAAAAUUAUUACUACUGAAUAAUUUUGUUCCGACAUCCGAACAAAUUCGGAAUACAAAGCUCCAAGUGGGCCCCGGGGGACACUGACGAAACAGUACCCAAUUGCACAAAUCUUAUCUACACCCGGCCAAUUAAAGCCAAUUAAAGUAUUACAUUACAUUGCGUGGCAUUAAACAACUAAUAACAGUUGUUGUCUUUGAUUUGAUGCAUACAUCGAGCGCUCCAUAUCUUGUGGGCCAACUCACUGUUGUUCCAAUGGCGAAGGCACUGUCGCUAUUAAGCCUAUCCUAAUCCACCCCACUGGCCCAAAUAGGUGAGAUUAAUUAUUAUCUGCACCUAACAAGCUUCUCAAGUGAGGAAAAAGUUUUAUGUACGGUUGACACAAUGAUACAGUAGGUGAAGAGGUCACUCGCAUACAUCUACAUUAGAUCUACCCAUCGAUCCAGCAAUAUUACGCUCAUAAAUAAGUUUCAUGAUGUCUGUAACCAUCUCAGUUUGGAAGAUAUUGGUCAACUGCUAAGGUCUUGAUAAGAUUACGGAAUCAUUAACACUUGUUCUAAUAGUUAAGUAGUGAACACUCGUAUUUCAGAGUAACUAACUAACUGAAUUCCCUGCGAUUUGUAGGGAUGGAUCAGGAACGUCCGUACAACAGCGGCAGCGGCGGCAGCGGGAAGAUAAAGUCGUCGGGUGCUGCAGGAGCAGCUUCGAAGCUGAUCCCACACCUCCCCCGCGACUCCCGCGGCUCACUCGAGGUUUUCAACCCCUCCUCCUUCUCCCCGUCGGCCGCCGCUCGCCCCAGCCCCUCCUCCCCCUUCUCGGCGUGGCAGCAGCCCCACCACGCCUCCCAAUCCCCCGCCGCGCCGCCCCCUCCCGGCGCCGCCGAUGACGGCGACGGCGGCGGCGGCGGCGGCGGCGGGGUCGCAGCGCCAUGGAUGGCCCUCCCCAGAGCUCCUCCGCCUCCGCCGCCGCCGCCGCCGCCGCCGCCGGCGCAGAGGAUAUCGGCGGAGGCGGAGGCGGAGGGGGAGGUGGGGGCGGCGGCGCAGAGGCGGCGGAGUGGGGGCUGGUGCUUGAAGACGGACGAGGAGACGGGGCGCCGCAGGGCGUGGGGUGCGGCGGAGCGGCGACGACACGGCGGCGAAGAAGGGGGAGGGAUUCGGGAACUCGCGGCGGAGCUCGGAGGAGUCGGAGGGGGAGGGGGAAUCGGGGGCAUCAGAGGGGGGAGAGGCGGGAUUCCUAGGGUUUCGGAGGAGCUCCGGGAGGCGCUGUCGGCGUUCCAGCAGACGUUCGUGGUGUCGGACGCGACGAAGCCCGAACACCCCAUCAUGUACGCCAGCGCCGGCUUCUUCAACAUGACCGGAUACACCUCCAAGGAAGUCAUCGGCCGCAACUGGUAUUUCCACUACUCUCUUCCCUACUCUCUCUCUUCCCAGUUUUAUGUAUUGCGAAUAAUAAUAAAAAUCAUUAGUUAAAAAAAAAAUGCAAACAAUCGUACCGUCUCUAGAGCAAAUGGCAAAAGACUUGAUGAUUGGUAUCCGAGACUCAAGUUUGAAUUCUAGUUGAUUCAUAUUUCCAGCUAAGUUUAUUUCUAAAUGAAAUAAACGAAGCGGGCAGCGUGCUACCUAUCUCUCUCUCAAAAAAAAAAAAAUGCAAAUAGAAGCAUAGUUCGGAGCGGUAAAAUUUUGGAUCCGGUCAAAAUCCGAUCCAACAACUGGUAGGGAUAAUAAAUAUUUACCGUCUCUAGACCAACCAAGACCUGAAUUUCGAACAGCAUAACAUAUUCUUAACCCACCGACCAUCUCUAGAGCAAGUGGCAAAGGACUUGGUAGUUGGUAUCCGAGAUCCCAAAUUCGAAUUCUAAUUGAUUCACAUUCCCAGCUAAGUUUAUUUCUAAAUAAAAUAAACGAAACGGGUAGCGUGAUACAUAUCUCUCUCAAAAAAAAAAAAAAAAAAAAAAACAUAUUCUGAACCCUAAUGAACCAAUUUUAGACCAAACUUUUUUUUAAAAAAAUAUUAAAUAUUAAAUUAAAAUCUAAAUUUAACAUUUGUGUAUUCAAAAUAAAAACAGUGCAAUCGUAGAGACAUUUCAUAUUAUAUUUUUUAAAAGUAAACUAUUUCGAGUUAGAAAAUUAUCCUAAUAUAAUUUGACUUUGCUAUCUAACUACUAGUGUGAAACUAGGUUGUCGACAUGGCUUGUCCGAAUUUUCAUGUCGAGAUCCGCAAGUCGGGAUUUUUAAUCCGGACAAAAUAAUUUGUAUAAACCUGGUUUUUCGGACGGAGUUUUUUUUGUCCGAAUCCAGUUAUUUUAUGGGUUGGAUUGGGUCGGUCGAAUCCAAUCUUUUUAAAUUUCUAGAAAAUUUUUGAAAUUACGCAUUUUCUCUUGUAAAAUUUUAAGUAACGAACAUAUCGUUUUAAAUUUCGAAAAUAAAAAUUUGUAGUAACCACUAAUUUUUCACUGUUACAGCUGUUUUUUUUAUAUAAAAAAAAAAAUUUGAGGGCCUAGAGUAUUUGUAUUCACAUAGAAUCUUCUGAUGAUUAUUUAUUACUUUUUUAAUAUUUUAAAAUCAUGAAGAAGGAAUCAUACUAUGGCCUGAUUUUUUAUUUUUCGUAUCUAUUUCGCUGUACUAAUGAAUGUAGUGCUUUUUAAGUGUUAUUUGAAUAGUGUUAUUCAGAUAAGCACUAUACAAGAAAUACUCUGAAAAGAUUUUUUUUUUUUUUUUUC